rnacentral:lncRNA from 1 species
UUUUUUUUUUUUUGAAGAAACAGGAGGGGAGGGUCCUACUGGUUAUAUAUUAAAAGCUAAAAGGAAAACCAAGUACACCAAGUACAGAAACAGGAAGAGCAAAACGAGAGCGAAGCAAAAGGGAAAACAGAAAAGAAAACAUACUACAUGGCCAGAGGGAAGAAGGACACUUGAACCAUAGUAGCGCACAUUCAUUAUUGAGCCCACGCGGCAUGAGAAUGACAGCAAGCAGGAGGCAGCAACAGAUACUCAAUGCAUCUGGGAGAGGCCAAGAAUCCCAACGCUGAUCAGGGAGAGGCCGAGGAGGAGCAGAGCAAACAUGCCGAAGCAGAGCACCUGGCCUGCUUCGCCGGAGAUCGCCGUGACGGCGCAGGAAGCCAUCACGAGCCCCACGACGGCGAGGUUGCGACGAAUGAACUCUGCGAGAGCACGCGCCUCGGCCAACACCGCCGGGACGACGGGCGCCAGGAUGCCGACGGCGACGAUGUUGGCGCCGGCGAGAACCCCCGUGAAGCAGAGUAGCAAGCCGAAUCCGCCGGCGCCGGAGUUGAAUCCGGCGCUGACGGAGAACAGCAAGAUGGCUAGGCCGGCGAACAUCGCCGUGGUGCCCGGAGUGGUCAUCGUCGGCCGCGUGGCACCGCAGUCCCCUGCUUAAUUGGAGAGGGCCGUCGAGCGAGCAGGCGAGGCACCGCCGCACCGGGGAGGGAAGCGUUACCGAAGAGGCAAAGAAUGCAGCGGGAGGAGGAGGAUGAUCUGGGCGGUGCGCAGCGGACGGGGAGAGCCGGAGGAGCGAGAUGGUUGGGGUUGGGGAGGCUGGGAUGGAAAGCGUUACCGAAGAGGGGAAGAAUGCGCCCGAUAUUUAACCUGCCGCCUGGGCGUAGGAAGUGUUAAGGAAGUAACCUGCCGCGGUGCCGCCUGGGCGUAGGAAGUAGGCGUGGGGUCCGCAGUGGAUAUUUAUAAUUCUCAAGAUUCCAUGUAUUUGAUGAUUCCAAGCGUUCAACGCAAUACAUUAAAUAUUGAAGACAGAAAAGUAUCAAGAUAGGAGUCUUCCAUGACAAAAAAGAACCAUACAUGUCUUUAUGAAUUAACACUAUUUUCACUUGUUCCGACGUCCUCAAUUCUACGUAAAAAUUUUCAACAUCUCAACCCUUUGUAAAGCAAGAUAACACUAUGCAUUGAAAUAGGCUAACACAACACAAGUCAACACGAAUCUUGAGGCAACGUAAUCCAAGGCAACGUAAUCCAAGGCAACGUAUACGGGGGCGUUUGGUUCCCUUUGCUUAUUUUUAAGCAAGUGUCACAUCAAUAUUUAGAUACUAAUUAGAAGUGUUAAAUGAAGGCUAUUUACAAAAACCCAUUACAUAAGUGGAGGCUAAACAGCGAGACGAACCUAUUAAGCCUAAUUAGCAAAUGUUUACUGUAGCAACACAUUGUCAAAUCAUGGACUAAUUAGGCUUAAUAGAUUCGUCUCGCCGUUUAGCCUCCACUUAUGUAAUGGAUUUUGUAAAUAGUCUAUGUUUAAUACUCCUAAUUAGUAUCUAAACAUUGAUGUGACACUUGCUUAAAAAUAAGCAAAUGGAACCAAACCUGAAUAAAAUAUGAUUAAACCAUCCGGCGGCGCGCGCUGAAUCGAUUAUUUGAGCAUCAAUAUAAUAUCAAAUGAAAAAAAACUUAACUACACAGUUGUAGAUAUCAUCGAGAUCUACAAGUUUCAUAUAAAGUUUAUCUCCAUCCGAGUUGAUAUGAAUUAGUUAUAAUUUUUUGAAAGUUAUAAUUAGUUAUAAUUUUCAUAUAAUUUUCCCUUGCCUAAUUUUGCAAUUUUUUCAUCCAACCGUAUAUUUAUGAGAAAUCGGAAAAAAAUAUAUAAAAAUAAAAAAAGUUCUGCGUUUCCCGGCGAACUGGGUCCGAAUAGGCUGUGCGGCCCGUCGUCCCUUUGGGGGCAACGGCACAACAUGGAUUCGGGCCGCACCGCGAUUCGGGCCCAGCUGGAUGUCGUUUAAAAUUCAAGUUGAGAUUUUGCAGGGGAACACACCCAGUACGCCACGAUAGACAGAAUAUCAAAUGACUUCUCAGGUUAAAGCAGCAGCACAUCAUUCGCACUGUACAAAUAAUCUGCACCAGAAGCCUAACAAAAUCCUAGGCAACAAUGCAUAAUACAUGUCAACACCUAGAAGCUCUCCUUUUUAGCUUCUGCAAUACACACUCCCGGGGAAAGAUUCGCUCAAAUAUACAAGCACAUACCAGUGGCUGCAAGAUGUUGGCCAGUGCACUCUUUUCUGAUAUCAUCCUAGGUUCCUGAGUUAGAAGCACCAUGGUCAUGAACUGCUUGUGAUCUUCUGUUGAUAAUUAAAAAAAAGGAAGCAUGCUACCAGCUGUCAGCUUAUUGGUAGUUAGCAGCAGCAUGAUAAAUGGGCUGUGCAAGGAACCACUUGCCCCCAGAGAGCGUCCAGUGUCACGAAUAUUUCUAUUCCACGCAAUACAAGCAAUUUAAUCCCCCCCCCCUCUAUUACUCGUAUUUGCAUGAUGCUAAAUUGACAAUACAAUUUUUCGAUAAGGAUAAAGUGCAUACUGUUUCAAAUUUUCCCUCCAUUACUUGUGUAUUUACAUACUGUUUCGUAAAGGGAAAUUCAUCAUGACUAAAUUGCAUCAUAGGCACGGUGACUAGCAAGGUAAGGUCUAUGACAAACCCCUGACAUCCUUGAUCUGCAAGCCUGCAAUGCAUAUUACUCUAUCUUUUCCAAGUUCAGAUAAUGCAUGCUCACCAUAACAGAAACACAGUUAUUCAUACUUUUAGUUGAGAACAAGGGUUUUGCUAAGGUACUCCCAAAUGACUGUGGACCGUUGAUCUAAUAACAUAUUACCUCAUAGGAAGUAAUAUUAUAUCUAUUUUUUAAAUCUGAAAAUAGGAAAAGUAUUUUUCUAUUAGAUCUAACUUCCACACAUGAUUGUACUAUAUCAUAUCUAAGUUUCUUUUUUUGCCUCCCACGUGAACAUGGAUGGCGGUUCUGGUUCAAAAAACAAGAGAGAGAAGAACAUGACACCUUUAUGUGACAUGGAUCUGUUCGAGAAAAAUGUGACAUAAGUCAAGUAAAUGUGUUACACGGAGAAAUGUGUCAUGGCCAUCUCUUUUUUCCCCCAUGCGGGUGCAGAUGUUUCGUUUCAAAGAAGAACUGCAGAUGCAGAUGUUUCGUUUCAAAGAAGAAAUGCAGAUGCAGAAGUUAAAUUGCAUGUCAUGUGGAGAUGUUCAAGUAAACAUGAAGAUGUUCAAGUAUUUUUUUUCUCCAUCCAGAUGCGGCCGUGUGUUCUGUUAAAAUGUUAUGACGUCGGUUGCAACUAAAAGAAAAGAAAUUGCAUGUUCACAUGCAGAUGUUGGACCUGUUCCUCCGAUCCUAAAUUGAAGGAAGCCGUGAUAAUGGGGAGCCGGUUGUUUCUUUUUUUUUGUUGCCUUUUUUAAUAUUUAAGGGCCUCAUUAAUUUGAACUCUUACCUCCUAGGAGGUAAUCGGUGUACUGUAGCACUGCCCUGAGAACAAACCUUUUUUCUGUAAGCUACUGCAGAUCCUACUGAUUUACUGGUGUUUAUCUUUCAGUAAUUAUUCUAGUGACGCAAUUUCAAUAUUGUUAGUUGAGAGCAAACCCCUUGUUUGACCUAAGGCAGAUCCUAUUGAUUUACUGAUGUUUUUCCAGUAACCAUCUAGUAAGAAAAAAUGGAUGCUGUGAGGGUCCUACUGCUACUAAUUGUCUAGCUAAUAAAAUAUGAUAAUGUGAAUGCUCCAACUCCAACAGUGCAAAAUUUUAUUGAGAACUGACAUGCCAAAUAUAAACAAAAAUUCCAAUAAAAAGGAGUAUCUUUAGAAAACUUAAAUAAGCAAAGAAGGAAACCAACAGAACGACCAAAGUGAAAAUAUUACCUUUCUAUUUAAUCCAAUCUCGAGUACAUACAAGAGCCUCAAUUGUUUUGAUAUUUAAUGUGCUCCAUUGCUUAUGAAUCAUAUUUCCCUCACUGCUCAACGCAGCUUCACAAUUAACAGCAGAAGCUGGCAUUGCCAGGACAUCACGUGCCAUAAUUGACAGAGUUGGAUACUUUGUAGAAUUAUUCAUCCACCAGUUCAGAAUAUCGAAAUCAUCCUUUCUCGGGACAAGACCAUCUUCAAGGUAGUUGUCAAGUUCUGUCAUUAGUUGGCUCCUUGUCUGUGCAUUAAGAUGCUCAUCCCAAUCUUCCAAUGAAUCACUAUCAAAUCCAUCAAACUCAACCAUACGAGCUUCACGAGUUGAUGUGUCAAGCCCCAACUUCUCUGAAGGACCACAAUAUUCAUGGAACAGCUCCCUUAUUGCAUCACGCACGGCAGAUACAUACUUCUCUGCAUCAGUACCAAAAGCUCGCUUUAGACGGAACUCAAUAAAAGUAAUUUUGAAUCUCGGAUCAAGAACAACAGGUAUUGACAGCCACACGUAUGAACUUUGCCAAUACUCAUUGAACGCUUCUUGCAUCACCCAAACCAUGUUAGCAAGUUCAGUGUGAUCAGAGGAUGCUUCUUCUUGCAAAGUUGUUCUAACUUUCCAUAGUUCAUUGAAGUAUAUAUUUGCUGUGGGGCAAACAGGACCAGAAAUUACUUCAACAGCACGAUAAAAAACCCUCAGUAUCCUGCAAACAGAUUCCACAGUUUUAGUAUCUUCUGCAGAUAACAAUUCUUCUGAGGGGAAUGCCUUCUUGAAAUGCAGAAAAACUUCAAGCCUGAAGUAAAUUUUAUGCCACCAUUUCGAAUCCUCCUGUGGGCACUUCAAUCCAAUAUGUGUAACAACUUCUAAAAGUUGCUGCCGAGUCAGCGAUGAGGACAUUUGUACCUGAAUAAAUUUCUCUAGUAUGUCACCAACAUGGUGAAGCACUGGUUGCCCUUUUGAAACAAUGCUGUUAAGCACAUCAUCCGCACAAGCAACAUUGUACAGUUCACCUCUAAUAGGAAGGCAUUUUCUUUGGAUGAGCAAGUCCAUCAGCUUUGAGGUACCCUCAUCCCUUCUAAUUGCAUUGACAGAUGUCAAGCUGAAAUGCUUCUGAUCAAGAUUCCAAUCUCUUAAAGCUUCCUGUAUGACAUUAAAUGGUCCACUAUCAGAAUCCAGUACGCAGGCCUCCUUAAAAUGUAUCAUCCUUUCUAUACUAGUAGGUGAGGACCAAAACACACCAAAUUUGAUGAUUUUCCUUUGAAGUUUCCAUUCAGAAUCAAUAAAAUGCACUGGCAGACAGAGAUACUUCACUGAGGCCUCAGCUCCAUGAGGAGCCCACACACUUGCUGAUAAGGAAACCCGAUGGGAUAAAAGAGCAAUCUUUUCCUUUAGAUCAGUCUUUUCUUUCUGAAAUAAAAGAGUUGAAUACUCUUCUAUAUCAAUGCUCGAAGCCAUGUUAAAUGCAGGGUUCAGGCUCUUUGCAAACCUUCUCAUUUCUUCAUGUUCCACAAUUGACAAGGGAUAGCCAUGUGAAAUAAUCAUUUUAGUUAGCUCUUGAUAAGAUGCUUCUUGGUCAAAUUUCCUGCUUAUAUCUGCAGCAGUCUGAGCUGAUGUGGUAUUUUGUUCUGUGGAAUUCGUCUCAUCCAUUGCUGGCAAAGCUAGAAUGUGACGUUCCACUGGGCUUCUAUUACCAGAACUGCCCUUGAGGAACUUACUAGCAUACUCUGCAAUCUGAACCUUACCAUUUGUCAAGGCUGGUGAAAGCUCAUCUUGAAGCCUAGAUUUAAAACUCGGUACACUGGACUGGAACAAAACGCCCUGCUGAUGAUUUAUGCUGUUUCCACUUCAUGCUGGACAAGUCUGAGUAUGUCGGCCCAUGUGCAAUCUGAACCUCCAAAAAAAUAGCAAAAUACAUUUAAUACACUAAGACAACAACUGAUAAUAUGUAAUACAUUUAAAUAAUAGAAAAACCGUGAAUAAUGACAAGCUUAACAUAAUAGAAGCCAGUCAUGAGUGCACACACCAAUAUAGCCUGAAUAUCAACAGCUUGAAGGUGCCAAACUUCAAUUCUGUAGCUCCAGGCUGUGUAGAACAAAAUCCACUCUCCCACCUGAUUAACAUGGCAACAAACAGCUACCAUGAGAGCAGCAAAAGAUGGAGUUCACUGAGUGGAUGUAAUGCCAGGGCAUCAGACCUUUGUUACUUAAAAAUGGAUGUAAUGCAAGACCCACAUUAUUAACAACAAGAAAGUAUACAUGGUAGGCCACCAAAAGAGUGGUCCUGGGGGUCAUCUUUAGCCACGGUGCAGGAAAUGCAGCAACAAAAGAGUGACAUGGAUAGAAGAGUGACAGAUCUCAACAGGCACAAGCUUAUGACAUUCGAAAGUACUCUCUUAGCAAUAAUAAAUGCUAGGCCACCAAUAUUUUACUAAAACUGCAUAGAAACAUGAUGCACAGGGGCAUUGGGAUUUCCAUACCUGCCUCAACUGAUGACACUCUGAUAGUCCUUCUCUUAGAAAUAAUAAAUGAUAGGACACCAAUAUUUUACUACGCACUGAGCAGCAACCUCUAAAGGGAAAAAAAGAAAUCAGUACUUAAAUUAAUCGGGAUGGUUAGCUAAUCAGCUUCAGUACAUAACAACAAUCAAAUUAGGAGGGAUGCCUAGCACAUAUAUCAAUUGGACACAGAAAGACAAAUAGGAGCAGGAGUGUUAAACCUGUCAGCUAUUCUCACAUAUACUCGCAAGGACUUUGGUGGAUUUAUUGUUGCUGGCCAUAACAUGUCGUGGCAGCGGUAAUCAGCAGUUGGAUCCUGGAUGAUGAUGGCACCUGCUACCUCAGUCUGAUGGCCAUCAAUGAAAGACCUUCAUGUAGUCCACUGCAGUUCAUGGUUCAGGCAUCAAUUACAUUAUGAUUCUCCCAUAUCAAUGAUAAGCGAUGCCAGUCAUCCACUGAAAUUAACUUUUGCCCUCUCUGAUCUGCACAUUGCAGGCAAAUUUUGGUUAGGAUUAGGAAUCAGUUAAAUCAUUCACAAAAUCCGAGGAAACCAUACCUUCAUGGCCUGGCCAAAUCCCAGAUCCGACAAUGGCCUGGAGGAGUGCGCUCGGGUGUCCACUCAUGCACGGUCGGCGAAGGGCCUGGGAAGGAGAACGAGCGGAGUGCACCGGGCGCAAAUGGCGUUGGGGAACGGGGCGACGCCCAAACCCUAGUCGCCGUCGCCUGUAAACAGUGCCACGACAACAAAGCUUAUGCAAGGGGCCGUCGUCAUGGAGUUGCUCCUCACUGUGGACGCGGAUCCGGCGGAGGCACCAUGGAUCUUGACCCUUCCCUACCCUUCCGGAGGUGGCGGCGGCGUGGGGGUCGUCAUCUGCGCAACCAGCGGCGGUGGUUAAGACCCGGCGGCGACGUCGAUGGAGAGGAGAUGAGGAGUCGGGCUCAGGGGUGGUGAGGCGGGCGGAUGCGGAGGUGGCGGCCGGUGGAUAUGGAUGGCGAGGGGGCCGGCGGCGGAUUGGAAGAGGAGGGCACGGAAGGAUGAGACACGGACGGGUGGAUGGCAAGGACCUUUGAGCAAAAACGACACAUUCUAUUAUUUUAAGGACUGCAGGUUGACUUUUGUGUAAAAUAAUAGGGGUUUGCUAGCGCCUGGACCUCCGGCGGAGCAACUCUGGUCGGACGUACGCUUCACCGUCCGUUUUAAAUCUGACGGUUACAGUAGUACCACAAUAAAUACCAUCAAAAUUAUCCGACGUUUCGUUACAACAUCAAAAUAAAAUAGCUACAACAUCAAAAAUACAUGGUUGUAACAUGAAAAAGAUGCGAAAAAAUAAAAUAAAAUAGCUACAACAUCAAAAAUAUAUGGUUGUAACAUGAAAAAGAUGCGAAAAAAUAGCUCAAUGUAAACAUAAUGUUCCCGUUGAUGAUGAUGUACCUAUUGCAACAUCCGAGAAUCCCUACUGCAACAUCGUGAGAUACCUAUUGCAACAUGGCAAUCGGGGGGCUAUCCGUUGAUGAUGAGGAAAAAAAACGCCGCAACAUCUGUUUCGUGUUGCAUGGAACAUUCAAAUCUUUUAUUGAAAAUGCAACAUCCAGAUAAAAUAUGUGUGAAACAUAUGCAACAUCUGGAUCUACUUUGGAACAUCCACAUGAAACACUUGCAACAUUCUUCUGAAAUACUUGAAACAUACGCUUGCAACAUGAAGCAAACCUUAGCAGAAGGAGCACUGCACAGCGGGAUCCGACGCUAGGAAACGGUGCUGGAGGAGGAUGGCGGCAGCCGGCGCGGCUCGUCCCUAGCCGCGGGGGAGCUACAACCCACGCCCGGCAACGCCCCGGCGCCCAACAGCCUUCCUCGUGAAUCUCCCAGGUGGCCAAGCUCAUUGUGGGCGGAGCAACUCCUUUAGCGGCCGGCGUGGCUCGCCCCCUGGCCACGGGGGAGCGGCGGCCCGCGCCCCGAUGCUCGAGCAGCACCCAACACCCUUCCCAGGCUCCGGCAGUGUGCGUAGAUCGGCCACGGUCUUGCCCCACAGAAUCCAUAAGCUCACGGGAAUCGGGUGAAAUCACGGCAAUCCGCUGCCUCGCUCGUCGGAGUGCCGCCCGUGUUGCUGUCGCGCUCACCACACUGACGCUGCUUCUCGCUGCCACGCUCGUCGAAGUGCCAUGGCAUGCUGCUUAUUCCUCGUCCGUCCGAGCGCUGCCCCGAUAUCGCUGCUCCCGUUCGGCCGUUGCGCUCGUUGAAGUCUCAUCGAGCUGAAUGGUUGGAAAUUGGAGAGAGAGCAGUUAGGAGAGAUAAAGAAUGAAAGUAGAAAAAUAUAUGGUGCAAAGUUAGGCCACAUCAUUUUAUACUGUUCUAACUACCAACAAAAAGUGACGGGAUUAGAGGUUCCGAUACGCGUAGGACAUCGGCACCUGAGCAUUACUGAAAAUAAUAUUUGGACGACGGUUCCAAGAAGCUACCGCCCACUCCGUCAUGUUCCCUCCAGUCCUCUUUUUUCUACUCGCUCCAGUCUCCGUCAUGUUCCCUCCAGUCGUCUUUUUUCUACUCGCUCCGGUCUCCGUCAUGUUCCCUCACAUAUAUAUGCAUACAUACCGAGGCCCAAGCCUCCAGCGUCACUCGCUCCAGUUUCCUCCUGUCUUCCGGUUCAACUCUUGCCUUUUCCCUGCUUCCAUCGUCUCCUGCUCCUCAACUGCUGCAGGAUACAGCGUGAGGUACGUCAAAGGGUCCGCAGGUUGUUUUCUUCUUGUGAAAACCUUUGGAUUUUUCAGUGGAUAUAAUGUCUUGUGAAAUUCCCCAGUUCUCUUGCGAGCAUGGAUGCAGUGACGCCAAUGAGCACUCGGGGCAGCAGCAGGGCGAUGUACACCGGCCUUAUCAUCCUGUUGCUCGCUGUCGGCGCAGGCAUCAACUUCGGCGACUGCGACGGAUUAUCUGGCCCACUCCUCAGCUUCCUGGGGGUUGUCGCCGGCGCCAAUAUGAUCGCCGCCGUCGUCAGGACGGCCGACGACCCAGCAGCACCCAUCGGCGCCGCUCCUGCAGCGUUCGCCGGUGCACGUGCGUUCAUGCGGCGCAACCUCGCCGUCGUGGGGCUCGUCAUGGUUUCCUCUGCUUCCACAGCGGCUGCGGGGGAGACAGGCCCGGCGUUCUCCUUCAUGAUGUUUGUCCUGCUGGUGUUCGGGGUCUCUCUGAUCAACAUCGGAGUUCAUAGCGCCUAGUCUGGUGUGUCAGCUCCAGUCCGUUGGUGCUCGCAUCGUUCUUCAUACGUUGAUGUUCCCCUCAACUAUCUGUGAGUAAUCGCCGUCUCUGUCCACGGAUGGUUUUCGAGUAACAGCAAUAAAGGAAAUGGAAUUGGAAUUGGAAUUGCAUUUUUUUAAACCGAGGGAGUACUAUUUCUCAAUAAUCAACCAGUAUGUUUUUCCUUAAUUACUACGUGCUUCUUUGUACUUGAAUUACGUUGGUGAGCUCAAGUACCUUUUCACGGGAACAUGUGAUAUUCCAUCUCCAUGAUUCCACACCUGCUAUCCAAGUUGAGUAGCAGAAGAUCAUCCUGCCCCUGCUUUUCAGCCGCUUUAUUCCAUUGCUUUUGACGCCAGGAGUCGAGACACAAGACCAUGUGGGUCCCGGCGCUGACCUGCGAGAUCCGACGCCACUUUUCGGUUGCAUCCCGAUCAUGACCACUGCAGUACUAAGACCAUAUCCAAACAGGACAGCGAUGGAGCUGACGUGGAUGUCUGUCUGGAGAACGGGGUGGGGUGGUGUGCCGAUCGCGCCGGCGCCGGCGACAGCGGACCGAAUGGACCACCUCGCCUCUUUUUUUCUCUCCCUUGUGCUUCAUAUGAGCAUCGAUUGUUAAGGAUUGUUCAGCGCAUAUUUUCGAGGUUGUGGAUCCAUCAAUCCCUUAAAUAUUGGCCCAAACUACGAAGAUGUUGGCCAGAUGUAUGCGCCAGCCAUUGACAUGGACCACUGAGAGUCAAAUCUGCAAACUUUUUCAUGCGUGGAUUUUUGUAUGCGCCAACCAUCGGAAUGGACGGCUCGGAACACAGCUCCACCACCUGGUCCCUCCCACUCCCCUCCACCUGGUCCGCUCCGGCCGCGGGCGGCGGCGGCAGCGCCGUCGGAGGCUGCACGGGCUCACCCCCUGCUCCGCCUGCGCCCCCGAAGUUGUAGGCCUGGCGCUCGCGCUCGCCGUAACCUAGCGCCGCCGCUAGGCCACCCCGCCGCCGCCAGCCCACGCUGCAGGAAGCCAAAUCAGACGAUUAAUCCAGCGAUGAGGACCUUCACCUGGAUGGAGAUUAAUUCCGCGGCGUCUGCGUCCGUGACGAGAGCUCGUGCGGGGCAUGCGGCUACCUGUGGCAGUCGCAGCAGUUCACAGUUUGAAGAUCCAUUUUCACUUGAUCCUGAACGUUGUGGGCGUCUCGAACGUCCUCUAUCCUAUCUCCUAUGAGGAUGCUGAAUUCGUAUGUGUAUGAGCCUAUGGAAUGGGGAUGAGUACGUGUCCUUUUAUAGUCCAAGGGGGCGUCCCUUACAGGUCGUAAGAAAGUCAGAAAGUUGGUAUACGAGCCAUGCCUAUCUUGUCGAAUCCUUUGCCCGACAAAUACGGUAUAGCCUCCAUCCUUGGUCCCUGUUUGCCGUGUCAGGUCAUCAUUUUGUUACGUCUGGCCAUCCCGCCGUAGGGGGUAGGUUUACGACGCUACUGUGCGGUCACGCGCGUGACCUGGCCUGGUAUGGUUUUGCGUAUGGGCCUACUGUCCGGGCUGCUUCACUUGCUCCUAGGGCCCACACAGGGUGGCCGUCCCUAGUCGGAAGUCAGCGUUGGCGAUACGACCGGGACCUGAUCGGGGCGCUAGGUCAGAGGCGCGGGCCUGGGUGCCCGCCCGAGCGAAACUGAUUGGACGUUCUAGGUUGGGGUCGGACCGUGAUCCCCUGCUCGGUGGGACCCACGUGGCUCGGCCCCUAGUUCAGGAGAGCCUAGUCGGAGACUGAGCCUCGACCUCUAGCCUAAUCGGGGCGAUCGAGUUGGCCCAAUCGUCUGCUACCGAGAUGUCCCUCGUUGGGUUGAGCGUCUCGGGAAAUGGUCCCAUUAGGGACCCGAGUCUAUGGACCCGUCACCUGGAGACCAAGAUGUUGCAGCAUAGACACGGAGACAGUGGUGACCAGAGGAGGAGGUGGAGCAGCCAUGUCGACGAUCCCGAAAUGCAAAUAGAAAUUAGUUUGAUCAAAGAGGGGCCAAGGUCGAAUGUACAUACAAAUCGAUAUAGUGACUAGUGAGAGAGCAUUGUACUUGCGUCGAGAGGAGAUGCGGAAAGAUUUCCUUACACCGAGAGGAGAUGAACAAAGGUUUUCCUAUGCUUGAGCCAGACUAAAGAAGAAGUGGAGGGUCGUUGCAUUUAGAACAAAAUCACCGCUCCUUCCUCCCAAAACAACCAUGCAGUGGUAAAAUCUUUGCUCGCUUAUUAUCUGGGCUCCAACAUUACACGUGGCAACGAAAUUUUUUUCUGUCCCCAGUUGCAUUGCCAAGUCUUGGCAAGCAAGGCUAGUAGGCAAGUUUGAACAAGACAACCAAGCAGACUUAGAAUUUCAUGAAUGGUUUUAUUUUUAUCCAUUGAUGUGACACUCUUGGAAACAACAAAUUCGUCGCUGAAAUGCUGAGUUUGGGCCUAUGGUUACGUAUGGCUCAUUUGGCCCAACUAUGCCAGCGCGCGAACGGUUUUGCCGCCGGCCGGUGCGUGUGGCCCAGCUGGCGGUGACGGUUUCGACUUUGGUGCUGGAGGAGCGCGCCAAGUCCGAGGACCCCAACACCGAGGGCGGGAAGAAGCCCUCCAAGUCCGAGGCGGCCGGCGUGACGGUAAGCCGCGUCGGCGUCACCGUGGAUUUGGGGUUUGCUCGGGUAGUCGGGUGAAGCUCAGUCCAAGGAGGAGGGCGGCGGCGUCGACAUCACCAUGGAUAAGGAGGCCAUGCACCCCAACGCCGCGCUGGGCAGCGGCAGGUCGAAGAAGCCAGCAGCGGGGGGCGGGAAGAGGAAGAAGCUGGUGAGGCUCAGCAAGGAGUACAUCGAGAUGAAGAUGAGCGAGCCUCCUCCCAUGGGCUACCGGCGCAUGCCCGUUGUCCGACGACAAGCUGGGCGAUCCCGCCCGCCGCGCCCAGGAAGACGAACUCGCCCGCCUACUCUCAGAAGCAAAUUGACAUGUACGCGCUCCAGGGGUACGCCGACAUCGAGUUCAGUGGCGGCCGUGGGCCUACCUCAAGGCAGCAGGGCUGGUUGAUUAGUGUCUUCUUGAGUCGUAAUUACAGGAACUUAGUUCGUCACAUGUGCAUUGGAUUCCAGUUGUUAAUUCCGUGCUACACUCUGCAUUGUUGAAAAAUGGCUAUUGGAUUUUAGUUGUUUAUAUGAUUUACAUAUAAUGAAUGCAUAAAUUGCUCGCACGCUCACCUUUCCGUGCUACUUGGGGGCAAAUUGUAUUAUCUGGCUAACUGAAUCUGCUGGUUAUGCUAUGGAUGGAUCAAACUUGGCAGUUUUUUAUAAUCUCUGAAUCACUUUCUUUUAAAAAUUUUAGAGAAACUUAAGUUUUAUGCAACCUGUGCGCAGAAAAUUGAUCAAGAGACCAGUCAGCUCCUAAUGACCAGCACCACAGAAGCAAACUUAUAAUGGAAGAAGAAACCUAUACCAAGAUGAGCACAUCUGUACCACAAACAGCAUAAAAAGGUACCAUCACAAAGGAAGACCGAACUGUUACCACACAACACAAAUUAGUAGCAUCAGAUCAGCAAUUUGUAUUUUUUUUUUCAUUAUUGCCUUCAUAAGGGAAACUUCCUGCCACCGCCAGUUAAUUUGCACUGUAUGCAUAAUCUAUGCCAGAGGCCUAAACCCUAGUACGUGGAUUGACGACGAUUGGAGGUACAUCUGAAACUCCAACAACCAGAAGCACGUGUUAUCGUAGCUUCCGUGAAUCAAAAGGCUCCUGAUAAUAGUAUCAUAUCCAAAGAGAAUAUUCAGACAUACUGGCAGAUGCAAGAUGUCUGACACAACAAGCCAACUAGGAAAUGUAGUGUUUGUGAUACCAUCCUAGAAUCCUAGAUUCGAAGCACCAAGGGUGUAUACUGCCAGUAAUCUUCUGCUGAUAAAAAAAAAACCAUUAGUAGUGUUGGUAGUUUCUGCAGUUACCAUUACAUGUAGCAUGCAAAAUUAAAUGUUGAUGGGAACCUCCCAAACUAGAAGAUUACCCCAACAGAACUGUGAAAUAUUUCAAUUCAUUAAAGUAACAAAAACUUAUAGUCUAGCCAUCAUGCUAAACUUGCCAUACCAUAAUAUGAAGAUCCUCAAUAAGGAUGAAGAGAUUAUGUAUUAUUUAAUAUAUAUAGAAAAGAAAUCAUCAAGCAGGAUCAUAACUCUACAACUGUGGCUAUUUAAGUUCAAAUUUAUCCUAUUGCGUAAGAGUUACUCGGUAACUAAAAGCAUACCCUAUCGAAACUCUGCAUCCUGUUGCUGCUGGCUUGUAGCCAAUCUCUCCUUCCCUGGGCAGAUUUCCUGGUGUUGAUACAAAGAGUCACUUCGACGGCUCAAGUGAACAUGGCAGUAUCGGCAUUCCACUCUAUCAACCACUCCGUUUUCGCACACAGGCUUGUAAUCAUCCCACAGCUUAGCUAUCUUAUUUCUGAAUCUGGAUUGACCAAUAGAAGCAGCCCCUGAUUGCGUAUCAUCACUGACAUGCUCAUCCAACAGGUCCAUAACUGCAGAUAACAAUACGACAUUAUCAGCUUUCUUGACAGGGCGUAGUUAAACUGCAUCCUUGAUUCCAACCAGAAAAGGAAAUGCUUCACACAAUGCAGGAGCGGCAAUAAUCUCUACAGAUGGCUGGAGUGCUGGACAUAUCAGAAAAACAAUUCGCACAGACAAACAAACAGUAGGUGCAGCCGUGCAGGCAUUGAUCAUUAAGAGAAAGACCCAAAAAAAAAAGCUUUUAGUUCUCCCCACAUUGCUGGGUCCGAGAAUCGAUCCCACGACCUCUUGCUUGGUAACGAAAGGUAACACCUGUUCUCCACAACACUAACGCGCGCCCUGCCGCUCCAAUUUCUUGCAACUUCUAAGCCCGCAGAGCCGCAGGCAACUAACGGUAGCCAAUAUCUAGCAUUCCCCGCCGACUUUUUUAUUUUUUAGCCCUUUUUACGAAAGAUUCUCACAAAUAGGUCCCUGGCGGAACCAAUUUCAAAAAUGGAUCCUUAGCUUGGCGCCAUCCACGCUGGCGCCAAGCUAUAACGUCUCGGUGCCAGCCAUCCUGGCGCCAAGGUCUAUACAUAGCUGCUCACGCGGAUGCUGACGUGGCGGGGGCUUGGCGCCAUCCAUGAUGGCGCCAAGCCUUGGCGUGAUGGAUCUUGGCGCCAAGCUUGGCGCCGUAGAUCUUGGCGCCGAGCUAUCUACCCCGUACUUCUACGCGUUUCGAACUAAACAAGUAUAAUUAUUCCGAGGAGCAUGCAACAAACUAAGUUGUGGUUUAACUGGUUAGGAGGUGGACUUCUUAUCCUGAAGAACUGAGUUCUUAGGUUGUUGCAUACUCCUCGGAAUAAUUAUACUUGUUCAGUUCGAAACGCGUAGGGGUACGGGGUAGAUAGCUCGGCGCCAAGAUCUACGGCGCCAAGCUUGACGCCAAGAUUCAUGGCGUCAAGGCUUGGCGCCAUCAUAGAUGGCGCCAAGCCCCCGCCACGUCGGCAUCCGUGUGAGCAGCUAUGUAUAGACCUUGGCGCCAGGAUGGCUGGUGCCGAGACGUUGUAGCUUGGCGCCAGCGUGGAUGGCGCCAAGCUAAGGGUCCAUUUUUGGAAUUGGUUCCGCCAGGGGUCUAUUUGUGAGAAUCUUUCGCAAAAAGGGCUAAAAAAACAAAAAAGUCGGGCAUUCCCCGCACCACUUCGACUCCCCAAGCUCCCAGCUCGCCAAAAGACUGCAACUUUCCGGCCCAAAACGAACAAGAACACCAGUUACGGCAGUGCCCGCCCAUUCGCAGACACGAACAGCACCAGGCAAGCAAUUCGUUCCCCCCCCCCCCCCAAAAAAAAUUCGGGAAAUAAAAAGCAAUAGUAGCGAGAGGAGGAUCGCAUCACUUACCGGUUACUGCUCGCCGGGAACUCGGCAAAGGAACAUCAUCGAAGAAAUGGGACGCGCAAUGGCACUCGGGAAGUUGGCCCUCACUGCUCAACGUAGCUUCACAAUUAACAGCAGAAGCUGGCAUUGCCAGGACAUCACGUGCCAUAAUUGACAGGGUUAGAUACUUUGUAGAAUUACUCAUCCAUCAGUUCAGAAUAUCGAAACCAUCCUUUCUCGGGACAAGACCAUCUUCAAGGUAGUUAUCAAGUUCUGUCAUUAGUUGGCUCCUUGUCUGUGCAUUAAGAUGCUCAUCCCAAUCUUCCAAUCAAUCACUAUCAAAUCCAUCAAACUCAACAAUACGAGCUUCACGAGUUGAUGUGUCAAGCCCCGACUUCUCUAAAGGACCACAAUAUUCAUGGAACAGCUCCCUUAUUGCAUCACGCACGGCAGAUACAUACUUCUCUGCAUCUGUACCAAAAGCUCGCUUUAGAUGGAACUCAAUAAAAGUAAUUUUGAAUCUCGGAUCAAGAACAACAGGUAUUGACAGCCACACGUAUGAACUUUGCCAAUACUCAUUGAACGCUUCUUGCAUCACCCAAACCAUGUUAGCAAGUUCAGUGUGAUCAGAGGAUGCUUCUUCUUGCAAAGUUGUUCUAACUUUCCAUAGUUCAUUGAAGUAUAUAUUUGCUGUGGAGCAAACAGGACCAGAAAUUACUUCAACAGCACGAUAAAAAGCCCUCAGUAUCCUGCAAACAGAUUCCACAGUUUUAGUAUCUUCUGCAGAUAACAAUUCUUCCGAGGGGAAUGCCUUCUUGAAAUGCAGAAAAACUUCAAGCCUGAAGUAAAUUUUAUGCCACCAUUUCGCAUCCUCCUGUGGGCACUUCAAUCCAAUAUGUGUAACAACUUCUAAUAUCUCUUACCAUGGAGAAAUAGUUGCGGAGAAGGAUCUGGGAAGUUUCCUUUUGUCAUAGUUUCAUUAUAUAUUGAUCCUAUUGUUUUCCGGCCGUAUCCAACCGCCCAACGUCAUGUCCCAGCCGAACAACGUCAUGUGCCACCUAGAAGGCCUUGGCCCCGUAGGCCCGUAGACAAAGGGCAAGCCUCCAGCGUCUUCGCAUCCCCCUUUGUCGUUGCAUCUUCGCAUCCCCCUUUAUUUAUUCAAGGACGGUCCACAGUCAAACUGCAUCCCCCUUUGUCGUUGCAUCUUUGCAUCCCCCUUUUGUUUUGUACACCCAUAAGACCAAGGGCAAGCGGCAAGCCUCCAGCGUCGCUCCAGUUCCCUCCUGUCUUCCGGUCCAACUCAACUCUUGCCUUUCCCUGCUUCCCUCGUCUCCUGCUCCGUGAGGUACGUCAAAAGGUCAAAACCUUUGGAUUUCUCGAAAUUCCCAAUUCUCUUGCGAGCAUGGAUGUAGUGAUAAGCGUCAUGUUCGUUGCUGCUGCUCUAUUUAACAGGGAGUCGCGCAGCGCCGACGCCAAUGCUAAUGAGCCUUACUCGGGGCAGCAGCAGGGCGAUGUACACCGGCCUGAUCAUCCUGUUGCUCGCUGUCGGCGCAGGCAUCAACUUGGGCGACUGCGACGGAUUAUCUGGCCCACUCCUCAGCUUCCUGGGGGUUGUUGCCGGCGCCAACAUGAUCGCCGGCGGCGUCCGGACGGCCGACGACCCAGCAGCACCCAUCGGCCCCGCGCCCGCAGCGUUCGCCGGUGCACGUGCGUUCAUGCGGCGCAACCUCGCCGUCGUGGGGCUCGUCAUGGUUUCCUCUGCUUCCACAGCGGUUGCGGGGGAGACAGGCCCGGCGUUCUCCUUCAUGAUGUUUGUCCUGCUGGUGUUCGGGGUCUCUCUGAUCAACAUCGGAGUUCAUGGCGUCUAGUCUGGUGUGUCAGCUCCGGUCCGUUGGUGCUCGCAUCGUUCUUCAUACGUUGACGUUCCCCUCAACUAUCUGUCAGUAAUCGCCGCCUCUGUCCACGGAUAGUUUUCGAGUAACAGCAAUAAAGGAAAUGGAAUUAGAAUUGGAAUUGCAUUUUUUUUAACCGAGGGAGUACUAUUUCUGAAUAAUCAACCAGUAUGUUUUUCCUUAAUUACUACGUGCUUCUUUGUACUUGAAUUACGUUUGUGAGCUCAAGUACCUUUUCACGGGAACAUGUGAUAUUCCACCUCCAUGAUUCCACACCUGCUAUCCAAGUUGAGUAGCAGAAGAUCAUCCUGCCCCUGCUUUUGACGCCAGGAGUCGAGACACAAGACUUAUCCAUGUGGGUCCCGGCGCUGACCUGCGAGAUCCGACGCCACUUUUCGGUUACAUCCCGAUCAUGGCCACUGCAGUACUAAAGACCAUCCAAACAGGACAGCGAUGGAGCUGACGUGGAUGUCUGUCGGGAGAACGGGGUGGGUGGCGUGCAGAUUGCGACGGACCACGACAGAGGCGGCGCGUUCGUAACGGGGUGGGGGGGGUGUGCCGAUCGCGCCGGCGACGGCGACAGCGGACCGAAUGGACCACCUUACCUUUUUUUUUCUCCCUUGUGCUUCAUAUAAGCUAUCGAUCCAUUGUCAAGGAUUGUUCAGCGCAUAUUUUUGAGGAUGUGGAUCCAUCAAUCACUUAAAUAUUGGCCCAAACUACAAAGAUGUUGGCCAGAUGUAUGCGCCAGCUAUUGGAAUGGACCACCGAGAGUCAAAUCUGCAAACUUUUUUCAUGCGUGGAUUUUUGUAUGCGCCAACCAUUGUAUGCGUGGAUUUAGGGGGUGUUUGAUACUAAUUAAGAGUAUUAAAUAUAGUUUAAUUAUAAAACUAAUUGCACAGAUGGAGUCUAAUUCGCGAGAUGAAUCUAUUAAGCCUAAUUAGUCCAUGAUUUGAUAAUGUGGUGCUACAGUAACCAUUUGCUAAUGAUGGAUUAAUUAGGCUUAAUAGAUUCACCUCGCGAAUUAGUACAGGAGUUCUGCAGUUAGUUUUAUAAUUAGCUCAUGUUUAGUCCUUCUAAUUAGCGUCCGAACAUCCGAUGUGACCCUCCUAAAGUUUAGCACCUCGUAUCCAAACACCCCCUUAGUUGGUGGAUCCAGACACAUCUAGCUAAAAUUUAGCUAGCUAAGGUAAACUAGCUAAAAAGGAUACACUAAAUUUUAACCAGCUAAAGUUUAGAUGGGUGGAUCCAAACAUGAUCUUGUUGGAAAAUUAGGCAAUUGUAUGAUUAAAUUCCGAACUAUAUUUCAUAAAAAGAAUUAAACAUGCAAGACUCUAACAUACUAGGCAACAACAAGAACGACAUCAUGUUCUCAUAAAAUAUGCUAAAAUAAUAGAUCAAAUCACAUCAUACAUACUGAGCGGGCGCAGCCGUGAUGGGAAGCGGUGCCGACGGAACAACGACGGUGUUGCGGAUGGAGCGCAGCAGACGACGCUGAAGACGACGAGCCGCCGCAGCGCCGGACUUGGACAAAAGACGAGUCGUGGUGAAGACCUUGAGCAGUCGCGUUGAGCGCUUCCCAAAAACUUUAUUCACCCUCUCCCGAUGCAGGAUCACAAGAGCAAGAGGUUUCGGAGACCUGCACUCCCGUUCACCGGUGCACGCCGACACUCAGGAUGGAGUAGAUUAUGGUGACGGCGUAACUCGUACAGACCACCUUGGGGAUACCCUAACUUGGGGUCUUCCCGUAUAGUAGUCUAUAUUGCGUCUAUUCCAUGAGGGAGGUGGUCCAUAUAUAUAGGGAGGAAAAGCCCCAACACCCUCGUUUAUUAGCAAUAUGGGACUAAUAGAUGGUGUACCCCCUCUUACGCUAAUGUGCCUUUGAGAUUUAUUCAGAAUUAUCAUUUAUAUGGGCCUGGCCCAUAUAUCUAAUAGAUCUAAGGGGGUGUUUGGGAGACAGGGGCUAAACUUUAGCCCCUAUCACAUCGGAUAUUUGAUACUAAUUAGGAGUAUUAAAUAUAGGUUAAUUAUAAAACUAAUUGUACAAUCCCUAGGCUAAAUCACGAGACGAAUCGAUUAAACCUAAGUAGUUCAUGAUUUGACAAUGUGGUGCUACAGUAACUAUUCGCUAAUAAUGAAUUAAUUAGGUUUAAUAGAUUCGUCUCGCGAUUUAGCCUAGGGGUUCUGCUAUUAGUUUUGUAAUUAGCUCAUAUUUAGUCCUCCUAAUUAGCAUCCGAAGAUCCAAUAUGAUAGGGCUAAAGUUUAGCCCUCCUUCCCAGAUAAAGCCUAAAUUGAUUGCCGCGGUCAGUUGUACCUCGCUGAACUCCGCCUGCGCGAGCACCAAGUGAUGGCAGAUUUUACCCUAUCAGUAGAUCGGUCGUAGACUCAUGGAGUCGUAGUGACUGCGGCAGCGGCGAAACUGGAGCUAGCCACAAUUCAGCAUAACUUGCAUGAGCAAAUGAGGUACACGGUAACGUGCUGCUGCAGGACAGCAGGAGGAAGAACAGUGAACAUGGAAGAACAUCCAGCUGCUUGUUACUGCUGACGCCGGACCGGGGUCGCCGGCCAGCAGGCCUGGGCUUCGGCUGGCUUUGCCGAACGGACCGGAGCCCGAGCCCGUCACGUUGCGCCCAGCCGUCCACCCCGGGGCCGGUUUCGGACGUGGCUAGGGACUCGCCACAAGAUAGGAAAAACUCGAAGGCAGUGGUCCCGUGCCACGGAACGUACCGCCAGCCCCUUGCUCCGAUUCCCUGCCUCCCAGAGCCUGCAUCUGCCGUGAAUGGAUCGAAGCAGCUAAAGAGGAAAUGGAUUUUUCAUUUUCUUGGGUUCCUCGUGUCCCCAUCCACUGAAGUUCUCUGAAUAUUUGGAUCCUGCCUCUGAAUCUCUGAUGCUCUAAAAGUUUUCUGGGACGCCUCCAAAAAAGAAUUCGAUUAUGGUAAAUUUGAAAUCCGUUCCUGACUUCCUGUUGCACAAAAAGGAUCACAGGAACCAACGGUCCUUGCAAUUGCAGUUCUAGAAGUUCAUCGCUAAUAAGAGUCUCUGAUAUUGUAAACAUAUUAAAGAGCUCAUUUCCAACACAUACUUAUCCUGAAAAGUAAGACCCUUUCUCAGAAAACAAUUUUGUUGUGUCUCUGGCAUGCGGCUCUGCAUGUGUGAUUGCUGAUUUUACCCUGCAUAGCUGGAAUUAUCUAGAGUUGAAUUGGUGAAAAAUGAAACUGUCCCCAGUUUUUUCUCUUAACAUGUUAGCACUGUCCUAAGUUUUAGAUUAAGGAAAAGAUCCGCCUCAACCAAGCACUGUCCUAAUUGGCUGCGCAAUAGUGCUAUAAGCCUACCAUUACGUAACUAGGGCAUUAUUCACGCUGUUUAGCAGGUAUUGAUGAAUUAUGCACUUUGGAACUUUGCAAAACUACUGUUUUGCCAGAACACUGAAUGCAUGUUCACCAUGUUCUUCCUUCCCUUCUGUUCUAGUCACUCAACCUUUUCUUUUGAUGUGAAAGAAAGUUAGUCCCUCACAUUUGGGGUGCAAAUUAUCCGUCUCCAUUUCAAUGAAAUGGCUUGCAGCUUUGUGGAAGUGAUCACAUAUAACACAGAGAAGCUUCGGAAGCUAGGGUGGACCUACAGGCCUAUGGAGGAAACCAUCCGGGAGAGCGUCGAAUGCUACCGAGGUUUGGGCAUCCUGAACUGAGCAUCCAUCCAGGCUGGGACACCUUUGCCAGCUUUCGCUACUAGCAAACUGUUUGUGUUGACAGGCAAACAUGCAAACUGUUUGUGUCUACUGCACGGUGCGAGGUGAUGCACAUGUUGAGAUUCAGAACGCCAUCGUUUCAGAGUCGUCUCUAGGCUUUUAGGCUGCAGAGCAUGCAGUAUUCUAUGAGGAUUACUUGUUAUGUGUUGUAAAUUUGUGAGUACAGAGUUGAACUGCCAAUUCAGAGUUUUCAAGAACAAAUCCAAUUGGCAGGUCAGUUUCCAGGCCAAAUGUGCACUUCCUGAUUGCUGACAUGGGCUUUAUGGCCAGACACAACAUAUUUGAUGAUACUUAUGUGGCCACAAACUUGCUAUCUGAAAAUAUUUCAGGUUAGCCUUCAGGCUUUUUUUGGGUGCUGAGUAGGAUUCAUUUUUUGGAGAUGGCUGAAAAGAACUUUUUCAUGAAAUUUGAGCUGUAAAAAAAGAGCUUUUUUACGGUACACAAUACUACCUUAUACUACUGUUCAAAAAGAACUCAUAUGUAAGGAUCCGACGGUUGAGAUUAAUUGUAUACUACUGAAACCUUAAACUGUAGUAUAGAUAGUAUGCAUGAGUAGUAUGAAUAGUAUAGUGGUAUGAUUGGAAAUAUGUAAAAUGAUAUUGUUGGGAGAUCGACAGGCGCCACAGCGUGCGGGUGGCGGCGGCGGUCGAGCGCUGUCAGAUGGACGGGCUCUGUGUGCGGGCGGUGGCAGCAGCCGAGUGAGAAAAUGCCGUGUAGAAAAAAAAUCCCCGAAUAAUAUAUGUUAUGCUAAUUACAAUUUUACUCAUACUAAAAAUAAGUUAUACUUUAUACUGGUAAUAUUAUGCACUAAAAAAGCUCGUAAAAAUAAUGUCUGUGGCUCUCUGAUGCUGCUGAAGGGAUUGAAGCAGUCAAGCAGGACUCAGUAGCUUGUACAGCAACACAUUUUCAAAUCUUUCUUUACUUUCAUCAUAGGGCCAAGGUUAAGCAAGGUGAGCGAGAGGUAACAGGGCAUCCGUAUUGAAUGGAAUAUUUUCAAGGAAUAAUGUAUUUGGAAGUACCCCAGUACAUACGGCAGUACAUUACUGCCCAUGCCUAACUAUUUUAGCACCAUGUGCUAAGCAUGAUUUUGGCACGUAUGUGACGUCUGCUUUAAUUUGAUGGCUGUACAUGCGCCUAAGCAGUUCGUUCAAAUUAAUUACCAGAAACGAAGAGUGCUGAAGGCUAUUCUAAACCCAAAUACACAACGGCUGCAUCGCUCUUCAGUCUGGAAGCAAGACGGCAGGAGUCAGCCGGGCAUUGAGACGGCCGGAGAGCAACGGACUGAGCAGAGGGAGAAAAAGCAUGGCGGCGCCGGCGAGGAGCACGGUGUGCGUGACCGGCGCGGGAGGGUUCGUGGCGUCGUGGCUCGUCAAGCUCCUCCUCUCCACCGGCCGCUACGCCGUCCGCGGCACCGUGCGCGAUCCCAGUACGUAACGUAACCACACCCUCGCCGCCGGCCUUGCUCCCUGCCGGGAAGCUUCUGAUGGCAAACAGGGCCCUUGAUUCUGCAAGCAGUUGACAAGGCACUGGAUAUACUAAUUCCAGCAUGAAACAUUCGCGGUGUAGGUGGUGGCAAGAAUGCUCAUCUCAUGGCGCUGGAAGGUGCCGGGGAGAGGCUUCGGUUGGUCAAGGCUGAUGUACUGGACCACAGCAGCGUGGCGUCGGCAAUCGCCGGCUGUGAUGGUGUCUUCCAUGUAGCCAGCCCUGUGCCGUCCGGCCCAUGUCCCGACCUGAGGUGAAACAACUUAAGGCUCGUUUGGCACAGCUUUAGCUGACUUCGGUUUCGGCACUGUAGUGCAUCUAGCGCGUGCCGAGCUGGAGCCGGGGAAGCUAUUUUCUUUUUUGCUUCACCAGCUUCCUCUAGUUCAUUUUGUGCCUCGGUUUGCGUUUUGACUUCAUACUACAGUGCAAUACAGUAGUACUAUGUUUUUCUUUUUUUUUCUUAUUAGUUUCUGUACAUUGUUUCAUUCUUUCUUUUUUUUCCCUGAUAAGUGUACAACAUCAUUAGCCGUCCUUUUUAGUAAGGACUUUUUUUAAGGCAGGGGUGUAGAGCUAGCUUCGUAGAAACCUUUUCGGAUUCAAAUUUUUUGGAAAAAUAUGAUUUGAAAAUAAACUCCUACAAAACAAAUUAAGCUGAUUUUUUUCGACAUCAUCAAUUGGCACGCCAAGAGUAUGUAAUUUCUGCAGGAUCAUUUUGUUUUGAUAAACUAGGUGAAAGCUUUAGAAUCGCUUGAAAUGGUCAUUUAAUUGUGUUUGAUUUGUUUGGUUCAUUUACUAGCCGCACAUAAGUGAGGAAGCGGAGCUGUCGUAGAAGCAGUAGCUUCCCCCGACAAUAUACAAUACUGAGAUUAUAUGAGCAAAUGCCUGAAUCAAAAUACGUACAUUACCUGCUGCACCGAGCAUUGAUUUGAACGAAUUAAUUACCAGACUUAUUGAGGAGUGUGUACGACUUAGUGGAGUGUUUCCUUUUUAAUAGAAUCAGAGCAGAGGAUUGAAUCGCAUGAAUGGGUUGAGCAUUUUCAUAGAUAUACCCUUUUUCUUAGGCAUCGAUUCUAGGAUUGAAGAAAGGGGAGAUUUCCCACACUUUGAAAGAUUCACCUAUUGGGUGGGGCGUGAAUUACCUACCCGGGAUUUUUCGUGUAUAUGUUGUUCUUUUGAUGAUAUUUCCAUGUGUCUGCUGCUCCUUCCAAUGCAAAAUAUAUGAAAUAGGAUAUCAGUGUUGCUAAUCCAACCAGGCUUUCUGGCUCUUUGUGGGUGAUACCAGUCUUAUUCUCCCUCUAUUUAUUUUUACAAAACAUAUUUUAUUUCUUUAGGACAAAUAUUUUGCCAACAAUUACUCUGCUAAUAUGUAACUUAUGUGAUAUAAACUUAUAACAUAAGUAAGUAUUUUAAUACAAAUCUAAUAACAUCAACUUGUGAUACAAAAUUAUGUAUUAAUAGAGUAAAUGUUGGUAAAAGUCUUUGUUCUAACAAAAUGAAAAUACGUCCUAUAAAAGUAGACAGAGGAGCACCAGUUUUUGGCUUCUUCAAGUACACUAAGUACAUACUUAGUACUUCCUCUGUCUACCAAUAUAACGCAUAUUUUGAGUUUUUGACUAGGGAAAAGUCAAAGUUAACCAACAAUUUAUCAAAUUAUUUACAUUUUAGUGUAUAAAAACUAAAACAUCAGAUUUGCACUCAAAGUAGUUUUAAGAUGGUUAUAUUAUACCAGAAAUUAGGAGCCACCCUAUCAAAAUACAUCUUAUAUAUUGAUGGACGGGGGUAGCACUUGUCAAUUUGUUAGAAAUAACCAGUAGUUAUGGUAUUCUAUUACCUCCUGAGACUACCUUUUACAAUCCGCGUUGCAGGCAGAUGUCUUAGCUCCUACUGUAACUGGCACACUGAAUGUGUUGAAAGCUUGCUACGAGGCAAAAGUUAAGCGAGUUGUGGUGGUAUCUUCAUUUGUUGCCGUGGGUUUCAAUCCCAAGUGGCCCAAGGGCAUCGCCUUCAGCGAAGAUAGCUGGUCAGAUGAGGAGUAUUGCAGAAAGCAUCAGGUAUAUCAUAGUAGAUCAUUUAAGUAACGUAGCGCAGGAGUAGCUGCUGAAAUCUUUUUGUGCUAAUGUUCAGAUGGAACUGAGCAUGUUUUCUCUCUUCAUCAGGUGCUAAGAGCAUGUCCUCUUCAUGCAUUCUACAUUGAUUUGUUUCAGUUUGAUUUUUCUUUUCUGAAAUAUGAAUGCAUUAUCAACACUUGGUUUAUAGCUUUUGCAUGAUGUAAUAUCCUUCCAUCAAUGACUUGACUGCUUCUAUCCUGGAAGAAUAGGCAGAUUCGAUUUUUGUCUGGAUCAUAUAAAAAUAAUGUUGUCCUUGUUUUUGUUCUUGUAGGAAUUUGGAUGGUAUUUCCUUUCUAAAACAUUGGCGGAGCGUGAGGCCUUUGCUUAUGCAGCAAAAACUGGACUGGAUGUUGUAACUGUUUGCCCAACAUUGGUCAUCGGACCAUUGAUGCAAUCUUCAAUUAGCACAAGCGUUAAAAUAUUUCUUAAUUAUAUCAAAGGUGGAUAUGAUUAAAUUAUUUCUAUUUAGUCAUCUUGAUUUGCAUUUAGUAGCGAGCCGAGAAAAGAGAAAAAUGGGAUGACAUAAAACUUAUUAUUUACAACAACUAGACGAAAGGACUCUAAUCACUUGACUGAUGCAGUCAUGCCUCACUCGGCCAAAAACCAAUUGGUUGUAAGUUGUAACAAAUGGUUCGUGCAUAAAGUAUUUCGCUAAAGUUACAGCAAUAGUUUGGGUUGAGAUUUUUCCUUUUCCUUUUCGAAAUGAUCAUAUAGCUUUUAUAUUUGAACUAAAAAGUGUAUAUAUUAAGCCAUUAAGGUAGUACCUCUCUGUUGCUUGUUUUGAAUAGAAAACAAUGAAGCAUAUCAAUCGAUCAUCCUAGUAUUUGAGUUUGGUGCUUUGUCUAUUGAAACAAACACUACCUUCUCUACUGCAACAGAUGAGGAGGAGUCCGUCGAACAUAAGUUUGAGCAUUUUGUGGAUGUUCGUGAUGUUGCUGAUGCUCUUCUGUUGGCUUAUGAAAACCCAAAGGCGUCUGGAAGGUACCUCUGCAGUUCAGCACUAAUAAGAGUCUCCGAUAUUGUAAACAUAUUAAAGAAUUCGUACCCAACGUACAACUAUCACAAAAAGUAAAUCCCUUUUCUCAGCAAGUGAUUUGGUCUGAUUUUAUCUCUGCAUAGAAAAAGUUAUGUUUUGAAACACUAUAUGUUUUGCUAGAUCAUUCAAAUGCUUGCUUACAAUAUCCUUGUCUGUUGCAAUGCGAUGGCUUGCAGCUUUGUGGAAGCAGAAAACAGCACCAGGUGUAACACGGAGAAGCUUGAGAAGCUAGGGUGGAGCUCCAGGCCUAUGGAGAAAACCCUCCAUGACAGCAUCGAAAGCUGCCGAGCACUUGGCAUCCUGAAUUAGCCUCCAACUUGGGGACCAUUUGGCCAUGGUGAGACUGAAUAAGCUAGAGAACCAAUGAGCAGCUCGGGUAAGAGUAGUACCCUCCAUUUGAGGGGCACUCCGUCUAGGGCACGGUUAUGCAUCACAGAAGAUGACAGAUAAAUCAUUGUUAUCUUCUGCGGCUGGCCUGCAGCCUGAUUGGUAGGUCACGUGAUGAUUAUUAGGCUGUGCCGUUGAAAGAAUUGAGCGGAGUAACAACUCACUAGAGUUGAUAAUGUCAUCCCCGUGUAAGAGAGUCCGAAAACUAAAAAAGUCAUCACUCUUGAAUCGGACCUUCAAAUUAAAUUUCGAUUGUACCAUUAAAUUUUUUAUAGCAAGAUUUUCAAAACAAGACCCCACUUGACUGUGUUUGGAGAAUAUUUUUAAAAAAUAUUUUUUAGAUGCGGAUUAUUUAGUUAUGAAUACUGCGAACAAAUGCUUCAAUACCACGAACAAAUAACUAUUUCUGUGAACAAAAAAUUAAAUAUGUUUUUUGAGUUCGUAUAUUUUGUUCUAUGCGUAUGAUUUUUUUUCACGGAUUUGUAUAAUUUGUUCCACAUGUAUAUGUCUCAUAGAAAAUGCUACCUUGAUUAAAAAAAUAUGAAUAAAAAAGUUCAUCCAAAUAUAGUCAAAUAGGAUCUUGUUGUAAAGCUUUUAUUGUUAGAAAUUCAAUAGUGCAAUCGGAAUUUAAUUUUGAUGCUCGGUGUAAGAUUUAUAGCUUACACGAUUGCGUUUCUUAUAAUAAAACCUUCACAGCAAGAUCCCACUUGACUAUAUUUUGAAGCAUUUUUUAUUCAUAUUUUUUAAUUAAGGUCGCAUAUUUUCUGCGAGACACGUACACGUGGAACAAAUUCUACGAAACUUAUGGAACAAAAUAAUCAUACACAUCAAACAAAUUAUACAAACUUGCAGAACAAAAACGGAUACCCACAUGCAUGAAAAUUUUUGAAAUUAAAAAAAUAAACAAUCAUAAACCAAGCAUUCAUAUUUGAUUUCGAUUGCACCACUGUAUUUCUUUUGACAAAAUUUUCAAAACAGGAUCACAGUUGACUAUGUUUGGAUCAAAAAAUUUAAAACUAUUUUCUAAUAGAAAAUAUUAAUUUUGAUCAUAGCGAAUAAAUACUUGAAUAACUAGAAUAAAUGAUUGUCUAAUGCAAACAAAUAAAAUAACACGAUGAGCAAAUGAUUAUAAAUAAUGAAUGAAAGACUGAACAUCAGAAAAAUAACAUGAUGUAAAUAAAAGAGAUGUACAAAUAAUAAUAUACUCAAAUAAAAAAUUGAAAAUUUGAUAUUGUAAGAAAAAUAGUAGAAUAUGAGAGGAGUUGAUACUCCAAUCUCUUAAGACAAAUCUCAGUUUGUCUUCUCCUAAGAAUGGAGUAGUACUUAUGUGCCUUAUGAAAGCAAUUUCAAGCUAUCCUAAAAUAAGUAGACAUUUGUAUGAACUAGAACAAACAUAUAACUAGUGCGUAUUUCAAACAGCUCAUCCUUUGGAUUUAUUCAAAUCAUCAGCCUAGCGAAAAAAAAGUCUAGGCUAUCAAACAGACGAGCCUGCUUACAUUCUCGGACCAGUGGCUUUUGGAGAAGCUCUGAGUAAGAAACUGAGCAAUAACAACGACGACAGUGGAACAGAAUUUCCAGAGCCGCCUAUCCUAGUCUCAGAGAAAACCGGCCAUCACCAUGGAGACGCCGGCGAACAUGACGACAGCCAGUCCGAAAGCCACCACCGGGGUGACGGCGCCAACGGCGACGGCGUGGACGGCUGAGGAUGCGGCCACGAUCCCCAGCAUAAAUGAGAGGCUGCCACGGCCGUGACGGUGCCCGUUCCCCCGCCCGUUGUCUUCACCGGACGCCUUCUUGGCUCCUGGUGGAAUGGAUCGCCGGCCUCAGCACCCGCGGACUUUUCAAUGCGAAUCUACACGAUCAGGAACACAAGUUAAAAAAGAUUAUCAAAAGACUUGGAGACAAUUUAAUUACUUCAUCUGCAAUAAACUGGGUGUUGGGUACAUUAAUUACCUGCAGCAGCAUGUCGCUGAUGCCGAUGAUCAGCGCGCCGGGGUGCGGGUUCACCACUUCCCGCUGCCAACACAGAUUUUAAGCUUUGUUCUGCUGGAAUGAGUUCGUUCGCAGGUGAAAUUUUGCGAGGUGGGGGGCGGGGGCUGUUAUAUAGAAGAGAGGUAGGGGAGGAAGGGCAGUUGCUCAAGGAAGACGAAGCUAGUUGCCCAGGGCAAGCCACGUCGGAUGAGAUUAUUUGUUUUUUUAGCUGCACAUUGGAUUUUUCGUCUGCCGUUGGAUGCAGCAGCCGACGGCGGGAAUUCGAGGGACGCCGGCGGUCGGUGCCGUGCACGCGUGACGACAGCGAUGACCGAUGCAUGCAUAUGGGGCCGCACGUGUCGAUGGAUUGAUCGUGUAGUGCGACUCGAUCGGCCGGUAGGCGAUAGCGCUAUCAGCAUCAGAUGAUGCUACAUGCAACGUACGCGUCGGUCUCGUGCAUGUUCAAUCGUGCAGUGUGCGUAGUACUCCCUCCAUCCGAAAUUAUAAAUCUAUAAUUUAGAACGGAAGAAGUGCUAUUUGUUGAAAUAAACCAGACAGGAGAGUUGCCAACUUGUAAUACUAUCAUGUGUUAUCACUAACCAAAGUUUUAGAGCACGUCAAGAGCCCACUCAAGUGUUUUAGACCAAUUGGAACUUGAUUUUUACCAUCCUUGGAUCUUGAAUCAAGGGUUAACAUCUUCUCCAUCAGUAAUCCAUUAGUAGAUUUAAACCAUUUCCCGAGUAUUUUUCCAAAUGGCCGGCGUUUAUUGUUUUGUUUAGGAUUUUUAGUAUUUUUUCUUAAAUAGCCAAGGGAGUUUUUUAGUCUAAUUAAGAUAUAUCCUGCAGCUGGUCGCCGAGUUCCCGCUGCCAACACAGAUUUUAAGCUUUGUUCUGAAAUGGAUGUUGAGGAGAUAAUUGAUCACCUGCAGCUGGUCGCCGAUGUUGAUGAUGAGCGCGCCGGACUGCGGGUUGACGGCGACCCACUUGCCGUCUUGGGGUGAAUUGAUGCCUGAAUGAUUCCCGAGUCCGCGGCGUACACCUGACUCUCUCAGCUUGCCGGUGAAGCCAGCAAUCAGACUUCACCGCCUUGGCACCUCUUGUGAGUCGUCUGGUGAACCAGUUGAAAGAUGAUGGAUAGUAGGAUAUCCAAGAGUGUUCAACUGUGCUGACAACACUACUAUCCAAGAGAGUCAUGCCGGUGGAACAACGAGGAACCAAAAUCAGUAAAGAGUCAUGCCACCCGGUGGAAGCUGUUCAGUUCUCUCAUGCUACAUGACAAAUUAUUUGUCCAAAACGUCAUCUUAUUCUGAACAGAGAUAGCAUGUAGCAGAUUCUUAGUUGAUUAGCAUUUCCUAGGACAAGAAUAAUUUUAGGAAAAUUGCAAACAGAUACUCAAAACAUCACGCUUUCAUCAAACUAUGCACGUGAUUGCAUUUUAUCCAAUGCUGACACAUAGUUUUUUUUUUUGAAGAAACAGGAGGGGAGGGUCCCUACUGGUUAUAUAUUAAAAGCUAAAAGGAAAACCAAGUACAGAAACAGGAAGAGCAAAACGAGAGCGAAGCAAAAGGGAAAACAGAAAAGAAAACAUACUACAAGGUGUGCAGCCUGUCAUGCUGCGAACUAAGACACACAGUAUUGUCUUACAUCAUCUCUCAGAAGAGACAGUAUGGCAUUACAUGGCCAAACUAUACUGAACACAAAGUGGUAUUAGAGAGAGUAUUGUCAUCAUCUCUCAGAAGAGACAGUAUUAUUGUAUUACAUGGCCAGAGGGAAGAAGGACACUUGAACUAUAGUAGCUCACAUUCAUUAUUGAGCCCACGCGGCAUGAGAAUGACAGCAAGCAGGAGGCAGCAGCAGCAACAGAUACUCAAUGCAUCUGGGAGAGGCCAAGGAUCCCAACGCUGAUCAGGGAGAGGCCGAGGAGGAGCAGAGCAAACAUGCCGAAGCAGAGCACCUGGCCUGCUUCGCCGGAGACCGCCGUGACGGCGCAGGAAGCCAUCACGAGCCCCACGACGGCGACGUUGCGACGAAGGAACUCUGCGAGAGCACGCACCUCAGCCAACACUGCCGGGACGACGGGUGCCAGGUCGGCGUCGGACAUCUGGAUGCCGACGGCGACGAUGUUGGCGCCGGCGAGAACCCCCGCGAAGCAGAGUAGUAAGCCGAAUCCGCCGGCGCCGGAGUUGAAUCCGGCGCUGACGGAGAACAGCAAGAUGGCGAGGCCGGCGAACAUCGCCGUGGUGCCCGGAGUGGUCAUCGUCGGCCGCGUGGCACCGCAGUCCCCUGCUUAAUUGGAGAGGGCCGUCGAGCGAGCAGGCGAGGCACCGCCGCACCGGGGAGGGAAGCGUUGCCAAAGAGGCAAAGAAUGCAGCGGGAGGAGGAGGAGGAGGAUCUGGGCGGUGCGCAGCGGACGGGGAGAGCCGGAGGAGCGAGAUGGUUGGGGUAGGGGAGGCCGGGGUGGCAUACUGGCAUUUAUACCGGGGAAGAAGGAGGUUGCCGAAGAGGAGAAAAAGGCAACGGACAUUUAUAGUUUUAUACCGAGAGGUGACCGGGCCGCCGACCCGCCGGGUGCACAGUCUGAUAAAUGAUGCGUGGGGUCCGCCGUGGUGUCGACACCCCUCACCUGCCGCCUGGGCGUAGGAAGUGUUAAGGAAGUAAGCAGUGCCGGAUUCAGACACGGGCCCGUACCAAACUAACCCGAACGAACUGAAGGUUUAAAAUCUUAUUAGCCAUACACUAUUAGACAUAACAUAUUUUUUUAAUAUUUUUUUAAAGAGCACAAAUAAUUAUAUAAUUCUUUAGAUUCCAAGUGUUCAACAAAUAGGCUCAAACAAUAUGUAGAACAUUGAAUGUAGAAAAGUAUCAAAUUAAGAGUCUUCCAUGACAAAAAAAACCAUACAUGUUUUCAUAAAUUAACACCACUUCCACUUGUUCUGAUGGGCUCAAUUCUACAUAAAAAUUUCCAAUACCUCAACCCUUUAUAAAGUAAGAUAACAUUAUGUAUUGAAAUAGACUAAUACAACACAAAGUAAACAACACGCGCUCUCGUUUCUUGAAAACCUUGAAAGCGCUUUUGAAAGCGGCAGGAGAUUCCCACCGUCAUGUCAUGCCGUCGUGUCGUGUCGUGUCGGCCGGCCCUCCGGCGUGAUCCAACCGAUGAGAUUGGAUUCAUAUCAUAUUGUUAUUGAUGCCAUUUGGGAGACGGGUGCUAAACUUUAAUCCUGUCAUAUCGGAUAUUCGGAUGCUAAUUAGAAGGACUAAAUAUAAACUAAUUACAAAACUAAUAGCAGAAUCACUAGGCUAAAUCACGAGACGAAUCUAUUGAGCCUAAUUAAUCCAUCAUUAAUGAAUGGUUACUGUAGCACCACAUUAUCAAAUUAUGAACUAAUUAGACUUAAUAGAUUCGUCUCGCGAUUUAGCCUAGGAGUUGUGUAAUUAAUUUUAUAAUUAAUUUAGAUUUAAUACUCCCAGGACCCUCCUCCCAAACACCCCCAGGAAACUCUGGGCAUCUCACAUGCGUUCUCUGAAACUCUGAAUAAAAUAUGAUUAAACCAUCCGGCGGCGCGCGCUGCCGUCGUGUCGUAGCCUGCAGCUCACUGGCGUCAAGGACAGCGCGUGGGCCCAGCCUCACGGAGUACAUCUGGAUGUUGACGCGCGAUGUUGCAGCUCAAGUGAACAUGGCAGUAUCGGCAUUCCACUCUAUCGACCACUUCAUUUUCGCACACAGGCUUGUAAUCAUCCCACAGCUUAGCUAUCUUAUUUCUGAAUCUGGAUUGACCAAUAGAAGCAGCCCCUGCUUGCGUAUCAUCACUGGCAUGCUCAUCCAACAGGUCCAUAACUGCAGAUAACAAUACGACAUUAUCAGCUUUCUUGACAGGGCGUAGUUAAACUGCAACCUUGAUUCCAACCAGAAAAGGAAAUGCUUCACACAAUGCAGGAGCGGCAAUAAUCUCUACAGAUGGCUGGAGUGCUGGACAUAUCAGAAAACCAAUUCGCACAGACAAACAAACAGUAGGUGCAGAUGUGCAUGCAUUGAUCAUUAAGAGAAAGACCCAAAAAAAACUUUUAGUUCUCCCAAAAUUGCUGGGUCCGAAAAUCGAUCCCACGACCUCUUGCUUGCUAUCAAAAGGUAACACCUGUUCUCCACAACACUAACACGCGCCCUGCCGCUCCAAUUUCUUGCAACUUCUAAGCCCGCAGAGCUGCAGCAACUAAAACGGUAGCCAAUACCUAGCAUUCCCCGCACCACUACUCCCCAAGCGAAGACUGCAACUUUCCGGCCCAAAACGAACAAGAACACCAGCUACGGCAGUGCCCGCCCAUUCGCAGACACAAACAGCAGCAGGCAAGCAAUUCGUUCCCCCCAAAAAUUCGGGAAAUAAAAAGCAACAGUAGCGAGAGGAGGAUCGCAUCACUUACUGGUUACUGCUCACCGGGAACUCGGAAAAGGAACAUCAUCGAAUUAAUGGAACGUGCAAUGGCACUCGGAAGUCGGAAUGCUUCCGAGGGGGGAGUCGGAGGAGGGAGGAGACGGGGAGCAGAAUGGAGGGUGGAUUCGGGGUGGGUUCGGUGGUGCAGCAACUCCAAUAGUUCCCCAAAAAUUCUUCCCCAAAACGAGGUAUUGGAAGCUAUGCUAAAAUUUUUUUCCCCCAAAAACUAUAUUAGCCCACAGAAGAACGCUAAAAACUAGCCCUCAAUAUUUCAAAACAAAUUAUGUCAUCGUAUUGAACCCAUUAGUUGAGCUGCCCACCUCCCCCUCGUGAUCUCCAGCGGCGCCGCCAGGAGCUCACGUCGCCGAAGGAUUUUUCACGCCGGCAGGAACCCACGUCGCCAGGAUGUCACGAUCAGGUUUGUGCCAUGGAGCUCAUCCUCUACUGAAAUACAUACACCUCGUUCGCUGUUGCUGCUUCCACUUCGCGCUCGUGCUGCUUCUGCUGCCUGCUGAAUUAUUUCUCUCUCCCUCCUCUUCUUGCGUUUGUGUACUGUUGGUGUGUUUGUGUACUGUUGGUGUGCAGCCGAAGCCGUCCGGGCGAGCCAAUAGUUGCGUCACGAUCAGGAAUACAUUAAACCUUGAAAACAUCCAAAAUGUACCCUAAAGAGAACCAUAGACUUGCAGUAGGCAGGUAUUGCUCUGCUCCAUAUUUUGGUUCCGGUAGCCUGCUACUGACUUGCAUGCAGAACCAAUCACUCUUCUAUAUCUCUGUCUCUAAGAGACCUCACAGAAAGUGAAGGAGAUGAAGCUUGGAAGGCCAACUGUGUCCACUAAAAAGUUGAGCCUUAAAAUGGACUAGGAACUAAUUCUUGUAGUUUUAUGCUCAAAUGAUGAAAAUUCUUAUUCACAGAAUCAGUUAAAUAUGUAAUAUUUUGAACCAAAGAUGAAGACUUAAACAUUAACUGUAAGUUAUGACUUAUGAGCCAAUUCAGGAAAAAGAUGGUAUAGCAUUUAUAAUCAGCACAUCAUGAACAAUAAGGUUGGAGGGAACAUGCCACUGCGUUAAGUGAAGAAUAAUGCACAUGUAUAGCAGGACGUACGUAUCAUUGUUCCAAAUAAUAGUUCUAGGUACAUUGAGAACCUAAAUCUACACAUGCCCUACAAUCUAGCAGAAACCAAGGGUAAGUAUAUUUGAUUACUGCCCAUUCUCCCAUUUGUUAAGACUUAAGAACAUAAAGGUGAGGGUCACUUUUUCAGUAGAAAAUUCAAGAAGAACUUGUAUUGCAGUGAACAACAGUUUUCUGAUUGGCAUAAAAAAGAAAUAGUACUAAUAUUAAUCUCAGAUCAAGUAUAUGAAAACUUUCCUUGUUAUCAAUUAGCAUGACAGAUAAAAUUCCAGUACGAGCCUAAAGGCAGGAUGAUACAUUGAUACUAGAAGUCCCGAAGAUGUACACCUCGAGGUUCGAAUUCUGAUGAAAUUGAGCUAGUAUGACUAACAAAAUUCCGGUGAAAUUGAGCUAUGAUGACUACAUGAUCCGAAUGUGGCUACAUCAAGAGCUCAACUUGGUCCCUCUUUACCUACCUGCACACGGGACGCCACCGCCACUUCCGCCGCGGCGGCCGGCCAGCGGCAGCGGAAGAGGUGCUCCCAGACGCAGUCGGCGUCACAGGUGGUGCGCCAGGAGCGCGAGCAGACGCCGAGCGCGCACACGUAGGCCUCCUGCGAAAAAAUUAAGAUAAGAUUAAUUAUCUGAAAAAAUUAGGGAAGGUUUAGGGAACUGUUGAAUUGGUUUUUUUUCAUUUUUCCUCUAAAAAAAUAUUAAAAUAAGAUUAGCAGUCUUUUGACUUUUGAAGUGACUUGAUCUUGAUGGACCAGCUGGUGGGGUCAGGUCGCGAGGAGCCCGACCCAGUUCAUGAUCUGGGCUGAAACGGGCUCUUUAUGUGCUACUCCACUUACUGGGCCUUCGGCGCAUUAGAAAUUGGGCUGUGUUUCCCCACGAACUGGGUCCGAAUAGCGGUGCGGCCCAUCGUCCCUUUGGGGCGAAUUUUUUUAUUUUUAUAUUUUUUUUUCGAUUUUGCAGAAAUAUAUAGUCCGAUGAAAAAAAUUGCAAAACUAGUCUACUAUCGCCGGUCCAGGCGGCGGUUGGGCCAGCGGAAGCGCUUACCGCUGGUCCAGCCGGCGACAAGGGGUACACCUCCGCGCCACAUUUUCAAAAAAUCAUAACUAAUUCAUAUCAACUCGGAUGGAGAUAAACUUUAUAUGAAACUUGUAGAUCUACAACUUUGUAGUUAAAGUUUUUUCAUUUCAUGUCAUAUUGGUGCUCAAAUAAUCGACACAAGUUUCAGAUCUAAAAUUCAAUUCAUGUCAUAUUGGCCCAAUCCUCCAGCGUCGCUCCAGUUCCCUCCUGUCUUCCCGUCCAACGCUUGCCUUUCCCUGCUUCCCUCGUCUCCUGCUCCUCAACUGCUGCAGGAUACAGCGUGAGGUAUGUCAAAGGGUCCGCAGUUUGUUUUCUUCUUGUGAAAACCUUUGGAUGUUUCAGUGGCUAUAAUGUCUUGUGAAAUUCCCCAAUUCUCUUGCGAGCAUGGCUAUGGUGACGCCAAUGAGCACUCGGGGCAGCAGCAGGGCCAUGUACACAGGCCUGAUCAUCCUGCUGCUUGCUGUCGGCGCAGGCAUCAACUGCGACGGAUUAUCUGGCCCACUCCAAAGCUUCGUGGGGGUUGUCGCCAGCGCCAACAUAUGAUCGCCGCCGUCGUCAGGACGGCCGACGACCCAGCAGCACCCAUCGGCCCCACGCCCGCAGCGUUCGCCGGUGCAAACACAAGCACCACAUCUUGAUCAGUUUACACACCUGGGGUCCUGUUUUUCCUACAGCUCAAUACACGUAACACUCAGUUCUGGGCACACAUCUACCAAAUAUCCUGAUGCCUAUGAAAUUGGAAUAGACAAGUUGAAAUGGAUGUACUCACAAGGUGAACACAUGUCCAUCUCCCAAUCAAAUAUACUAAUAUCAACGCGAACACCGUAGGUGCUUGCUGAGUAAUAGACUCAAAAACAGAUGGAGUGCACUACUCAUCUUCUGCAGCAAAUCCAAGAUUCUUGUAGCCUUGUAGGAUCCCAAGUUGAGGCGUCUAGUGGUAUUUGAGGUACGCCUGCAAAAAUGGUGAGAGUAUUAGCCACAGUUGAAACUUUUCUUUUUAUUCUAUUUACUUUGGGUCAAACUGCAGACCUGCAAACACAAGCAUCCCUAUGCAUAUGAAACAAACAGGGACCCAAUCACUCUCUAGUAUCGAUAUUCUUUUCUCUAAGACCAUUGCAUUCGCUGAAGUACAAUUCCUGCAUUAGAAAGUCUAAGCAUAUUGUAGUUCAAUACGGAACAGAAAGAGAAGAAAUCAAUUUCAACCUGGAUGCAUCCCCAAUAAAGAUAUCAGUACGGACGCAUGUCCACACCAUGCGAGCGCAACACAGUUCAUUAGGAAAACGAUAAAUAACUAGAUGAAAGCUAGUAGAUUGAUGGAGAACAUGUUUACCUGCUGGCAGCAUCCAGCUUACCUCUGUUUCAUAUUUAUCGUACAGAUUCUGAAACUCAUCUCCCCAGCAAUCAGCCAAACCUGGAGCUUCAUUGGGACAAAACAGUGACCACUGUUCAUUGCGUUGUACCUUUUCCAUGAAUAGAUCAGGAACCCACAGAGCAUAGAAAAGAUCCCUUGCACGAUUCUCCUCCUAUAAAUAUCACAUAAAAAAACUUUUCACAGAUGAGGCAAUCUAAUGUAAUAGCAUGCCAAGCACUUAUAGUGCAAUUCUUAUACAGUGUGCUACGAAGACAGUAAUCAAUUGUCAAAAUGUAUUCAAUCGCAGCUGGCAAUUUUCAAGAAUGUGUGCUAUUGCUCAAGAGCUUUUACCUUUCCAUGGUUCUUUCUUAGAUCAAGAAACUCAAAGAUAUCAGGAUCCAAGGCCCCAAAUAAACAGCAAAUGCACCUAACAAAAGGUAUUUGUAAGAAAUCCUCAGCAAUCAUGUAAAUAGGACCGGGCUAACUUACUGAUGCUACUUACCUUUUCUCUUGCCUCCACCUUGAUCAACAUAACGGGCAGUAUCAUUGAAAACACGUAGCAUAGGAACAAUUCCAUUAGAAGUACCAUUUGUUCCUCAAAUGUAGCUCCCAGUAGCUCGAAUGUUGUGAAUUGAGACACCAAUUCCUACAGCGCAUUUGCUUAUCGCAGCACAUUCCAAGAGAGUAUCAUAAAUUCCCUCAAUACUAUCAUCUUUCAUGCAGAUAAGGAAGCAGCUAGUUAGCUGCGCAACAUUAAUAGAAGGAUGAGAUUAAAUGCACAAGUUAACAGUCCACACUCCACACUGAACACAUUUUUGGUUGAAGGUGGCAAUGCAAUACCUGGGGCCUUGGAGUGCCAGCAUUGAAAAGGGACGGGGAAGCAUGAGUGAACCAGCGCUGAGACAUCAUGUGGUAUGUUCUGACAGCCGAUUCAAUAUCAUCCUUAUGUAUGCCAACAGAAACUCUCAUCAACAUAUGAUGCGGCCUUUCCACGACCUUUCCACCAACUUUCAACAGAUAAGACCUCUCAAGUGUCUUAAAACCAAAAUAAUCAUAGUCGAAAUCUCAGUCAUAUUUUAUCUCAUUGUCCACGCGAGCAGCAUUCUUAAGUUAUACAGAAGUCAAAAGUUGAGUGCUUAGUUCCAUGAGUCAGACUAUAUGAUAAGAGGAGUUAGUCAGAAAUAAAAUAAACUAAGUACACGGAUGCACCAGUGUAAAUUACAACCACAAAUAGUAUUCCAUCUAUUUCAUGGUUUUUUUUUCAUAAAAUUAAGCACCAAAAGAACCAUAUCGGAUCUUAAUUACAGCAUUCCAAUGAUAAGCUAUCACAGAAAGUUUGAACAGUAAAACACACAAACUAUCGAAAUGGCAAGAAAGAAGAUACAUGUUUUUUGCUCUAAAUAAAUUGUUGGGCCCUUGGCCCAUGCAUCACACUGUAACACCCAAAUUUUUAAAGAAUUUAAAUUCACUAAAAUUUGAUUAAUUAGGAUGUCAUUUAAAUUUCUAGGCAUUUAAUUUCAUUUUCUCUAAAUUAAAUUAAACCAUCAUAGGAGUUCUUUGUGCAUUGCAUGCUGGUGCAUUUAUUUUGAUUGCUUGUGUUUGAAUCAAAUUUGAAUCUCAAAUUCAAUUUCAAUUUUCAAAACCAAUCCUUUUCUCAUUUUCUCUUCCAUCUCUUGGGCUGCAUUUUUCUCCUCCUCCUUUUUUUUUCCUUCGGCCCGCUCCACCUUUUCCCCAACUCCUUGCGGCCCAGCUCGCUUGCUCGGCCUGUUUCGCCGGCCUGGCCAGCACACCGGCCUCCCUCCCUUUUCGGCCCUGCCUCCCCUCAGCUCCACCGGCCCACUCCACUCUUUCCUCGGCUCGCGACGCUCGCUAGCCCAACAGCUGCGCCGGCCGUCUUCCGCCCAUGGACACCGACAGGUGGGCCCCACCAUUGUCUCCCACCUUCGGCCAGGACUCCUACUCCGCCCCGUAAUAGCCGCGCGAGAUCUCCGCUUGGGGGCCACCUCCCGGCCGAUUUGAACGCGCCCCGCCCCUAUCCCUUGACGCGCAAGCCACCGCCUAUCCACCCUAUAUAAGCCCCCCCCCCGCCCCCCGGCCUCAAGCACCCAACUGUCGCCCCUCCAAACCCUAGCCAACGCUAGCUGCCCGAGCUCCUCCUCCGCGCUGCCGCAAAUCCCCACCAAAGGUGAGCACCGUCGCGCACUCGGACCUCCCCAUCAACUCAAACGAGUUCGCGUCGUCUCCCUUUUGGGGGUCUCCGCGGGCCAAACCGCCCUCGGACACGCCGUCUUCGCAUUUCUCCGGCGAACCGCCGCUGCUCGCCACCGCUAGCCGCCGGUUCCGCCGCCGCCGCGCUAUCGCCAGCGGUCGCAACCAACCAACCGGUCCACAUACCGGUCAACCGCGCCGGUCGCUGCUCUUUUGCACUUAAGCCCUCGCCUUUUUUGUAAAUCAACCCGCAGUCCAAUCUAGUUCAAAAAUAAUUGUGUUUUGAUCCUAUUUUCUUUUGGUUUAGACCCUGAGUUUCUCUAAAAUCAACCUGCCAUCCUAAGUUGCAUUUUUGCGCGUUAAACCUUCGGUUUAUAUGUGUAAUUAUGUAUAAGCCCUCGGUUUUUUGCAGUUUGACCCUCGAAGUUUUGUUUUUCUCGCAGAAAAGCUCCUGGAUCUUAUUUUAAUCAUAUCUUUUGCAUCUUAACUCCGUUUUUCACGUUCUAUAUAUCCAUGUUUUCGUUUUAAAGCGUAGAUUAAUCUUUAAAACUUGUUUUCUCUAAUUAAUUGUGAAUGGUGUACUAUUUUCUUACUUUGUUCCCUUGUUUGCUUGUAUGUGCUCGUGUGACGCGUGUAGACGUUCAGCAGUUCGAGGGAUUUGAAGAUCAAGCCUUCGAGGAGUGCGAACAGCAGGAGCAAGGCCAAGAAGGCAAGUCGUGUCCUUGAUCACUACUUCUCAGUCCUAUACACUUUUACUUUCUCGUACUCAACAAUUAUGCUACGCACAUGUUAAGAUUAAAUUGAUGGGUCCCAAUUAAGGUUCGCCUAGAUUUACUUCACCUUUGCCUUGACCAACCGGGUUUACCUUUUAUCUUGGGUAGCUCAUGUUUAGUGCAUACUUGGGAUAUGGUGGUUUAACUGAACUCAAUGAUUAAUCUUGCUUUACUUUUGUUAUACCUUGCAUUAAUACAAGAUCACAAAUGUUUAAUCGGAACAUGGAGAACCACCCAGGAAAACAGUGCUACCACAAGACUAAAUGGCUCUAGUCUUGGCUGAAUAAUUAGAAACUCUAGUCUGGAGUAAUCUUACCGAAAGGGUAAGAGGGGAGGCGUUGAUGGGGCAUAGCACUCGCUCUCUUGGGAAGUGGGCUUUGCUAAGACACUAUGCCCACUAGGGGACUGUUAUGCUCUGCUUCGACCUGAAACCUUAGCGGGUUACCACUUACUAGCGAAUCUUUGUAAAAGUCUUGUAGCGUCCCUAUGCAAUCACACCUCGAAAGUGUGGUAUGGUGCCUUGCAAACACUGCAUGGUUGUGUCCAAAGUUCUUUAGAACUUUUACGUGACUUGUGGGUAAAGAUGUGCCACCUCUGCAGAGUGUAAAACUGAUCGAUCAGCCGUGCUCACGGUUAAGAGCGUCCUGGACCCUCACAUGAUAAUACUAUUGAAAGAUGGACUUAAAUUGUUGUCAAUUUAUGCUUAUAUUGUUUAAUUUAUUUAUGCUCAUGUUUAAUUUUGGGUGGUCUUAGUUAAUUGCUAAUAAAAUUUGACCAACCUAAUUAAAAGCUGAUGCUGUUUAGCCUUAGACAAACCUUGAUUAGCCUUACACUACUCUAUUCCCCACAACUUGUUGAGUCCCAACCAUAAGUGUACUCAACCUUGCAACUCGCUGUUCAGACCAAGAUAAUCUGGUGGAGUACCUUGACGACUUUGAGGAGUUCUAGGCGUACGGUUCUUCAGUCAGCUGCCUGUGGUGUCGUCGUCAUCUUUGGAGUUUCGCUGCGUAAUAAUUUAGGCUUGGGUUUUAUUGAAACCUUCGGUUAUGUAAUAAAGUUUAAUACUCUCUUUAUUCGCUUUGACACUGUCUUUGUUAUUCAGUUAUGUCAUGCAUGUGUGUAACUUGAUCCUGGCACACAUGUAUUGAAUGCACUCAGUUUUGUCCUUAAAAUCGGGUGUGACACACACCUUCAUUAUGAUCUCGUACACAUCAUCGGCAAUCAUGGGAGCCAUCAAGCCAGACCUCUCAUCGCAAUGCACAUACAGAACCUUUACCCUGCAUACAGAGAUUAAUAGAACCAAUCACAACACGGAUAAUCAAACUCUCCUCCUAGAGUAGACAAGAAAAAUGAAGUCAUCGUACGUCUCUGAAAAGGACUUCAUGGUGUUCUUGUGCAGAUUGGAGACGGCGAUCCUCUCCACCAGCUUCACAGAGCAAAGGAGGAAAAGGCAAAAACAGUCAAUAAUUAUCCAAUCGAGUUUCUCUAGCAGCAGACCAAAAAAAUCUCGCAGACGAUUAAAUUAUGGGGAGAGCAGAUCAGUCACCGAUGCAUAGUCGGGGUGCGAGGCGGUCAUGGCGGCAAGCUCACCGAUCUGGCUGGUAGUGAUGCCCCUGUAGACACCGGCACAGACCUUCUGUGCGAUGAGGUGGGCAGGAGGCGGCGGUGUGGAGACCUAGCAGGAGAGGAAGGUUGAUGUGUGCACGUGUGGAGGAGGACUGGAUCUCGGAGGGAGCCACGGAUCCGAGGAAAGAAGAGUUCGUUAGGGAGCACGUUGUGGCGGUCUCCUCGCCACCCUAUUCGCCCGUGCGAAGGAGAGGCGCCCCGGCGUGGCCGGCGUGACCGGAAGAGGAGCUCACGGAAGGGCCGGUGGCGGACUGGGAGAGGAGCUCACGGAAGGGGAUGGGACACGGGCGGUGGAUGGCACAUAGACUUUUGUAAAAAUAAUAAGUCCACACACCGACGGUUGAUUACGAAAAAGUGGAGAGGUUUUCAGAACGGUUGAAACCCAACUUCAUAUUCUACGUAAUAUUAUAAGGAUUCCUUUGGUAACUUGAAACCCCGAGGGGAUCCCAUCAUUUUUCACGGGCUGGAAACCCACGCGGGCUACUCACCACGAGCCGAAUCGCCUUGUCGUUUGGGAGCCAAUCGGAUGGGGAGGCCUGACCGCAUCUGCAAGUUUUCCCCGGGGCGAGCCGUCCUCACCUUGAGGGUCCUGGCGGUGCAUCCCCGAGUGUUGUCACCGCCUGCGACAUGAGGAAGCUAGCACCAACUCUCCAAGCCCCCACCACUCCAUCCAAGAGUCGCCGUCCAUCGACUUUCCUGUCCGACGCCGCUGCCCCUACGCCUUCCUGUCCGGUGCCACCGCUCUGCCUCCCCAUCAAUGGCAACACUGCCGCUCACUCGCCGUUUCCGGUGCUCUCCGUGACGAAUUUCUCGAUCUACACCGACACCACCUCGACCAGCGACCAAGCGCUGCCGCCCCUCCGCAUCCCUGUCUAGGUGCUGCCGCCCCCCUCCGUGUCCCCAUCCCUGCUGCCCAGGAGCAACUCCGCCAUCUCGAUCUGUUUCAACAAGACCCUCUUCCUCCUCAGCCAACAUAUGUAAGUUUUCUCCCUCACCCUCUCCUCCCCUUUCCUGAUUCCGUUUAGAUCUUAGUGUAUUAGCUCCAAGAUCCACUCCUUGCCUGUCAACAGCCUUUGCAUCCAAGAUGUGCGAACCUGCUGAACGAAAUUGUGAUGCUAUAUGACUAUUCAGAGUAGCAUUUUCUUGUAGUCUGUAUUUAGUCAUUAAAAUUGUGAUGCUGAACGAAAUUGUGAUGCUAUGCUGAAGCUUUAUCCGUCCUUUGGUUCAAUGAUUACUAAAAAACAACUUUGUAAAUAGUGAUAAGAUUUUUGUUCUGUCAAACACGAUCCAGGUUUGUGAGCUUGCUUGCUGCUGCUUAGAUCAAUAUUGGCUUCUCACGUCAACUAUGCUAAUGUUGAGGUGAUAAUCAGUCCUUCACUAGCAUCAGGAUGUAUAUGCAAACUAAUUUUUGUCUCUCCUGAUUCCUAGUUAGCAUCAAGAUAUUGUACAUCUUGUAAUUAAUGUGCCUUUUUUUCUUAAAUAGCAUCUUCCUGAAUAAUGUGGCCAAAUAAAAAUAUUAAGAAUGAUGCCUAAUACUAGUCCUGAUGUUUGUUUUAUGUUGGUGGAAAGACAGCUACGUAGUAAUUCAGCCAUAGAUUGCUAUGCUGGCUAUGUUUUAAUUCAGCCAUAGAUUGCUAUGCUGGCUAUGUUUUAUGUUAGAUACUGUUUUUGAAUGAAUCAGUCUUGUUAUUUUGGUUGUCUGUUCAGAUAGCUUGCUUUGGUUAGUUGUAAUUAUCUCAUUCACAGCAACAGAUUGGCAGAUUGCUUUGGCAGCAACAGUGCAGGUUCUUGUUUAGUUCAGAACGUAAGCGGUGGCAGUAGCUUUAUUUAGUUCAGCUGCUCAGCUGGUUUGUUUCUCUAAAUUUCUAUACGUUCGGUUCAGGACAGAUAAGAAGCUAAGCGCCCUUGCUAACUGACUUAACCGAUACUAGAUGGAAUUAAUUGAAAGAGAGUACUUAAUGUGGAUUCAUUCAUUCUUUGUUGCUUCAUUAAUAGUAGAUCCAGAACCUUUUUGUUUUGCUACUUGUGUAGUCCAAGAUAAGUAGGUCAGUCUUGCAGAGAUUUACUUUUUAAUCAAGCAUUCUCAGAUUUAAAUAGAGCUAGAAUGUCUAUAUGUACCACAUACAAAGUAAUCAAGUAUAAUGCCGUAGUUUACUUGCCUUACACAUAACUGGUCAACUAUAUAUCCAUGUCAUGUCUCUUUGUUGCUUGAUCUUUCGCUUCCAUUGUUCAUGAGACAAAAUGUUUACAAUUUGGUGUUCCAACUGAUAUUGCAAACAUGUGGCAUUAUGAGGCACCAUAUUGCAUAUGACUUGGCGGAAGCAACAUAUGAUCACAGAAAUGUGAAGUGGCCUUCAUCAUUAGCAUCUGAGAAACGUUCAAGAUCGUAGCUAGAUUUUGCUCCUCCUGUCUGUCAAUUUUUAUAUACAUGCACCUACUAUUUAUCCAUUUUUUAUGUUACUAGCAUCUAUGUAAUAUAUUGGUGUCUGAGCUGGAGGACUAUAAUUUAAAUAUUGAUGCAGAUUUUAGCUUUCGGUUUAUAUUGCUGAGGCAAAUCACUUGUUUUAGCUUUUAGUUUAUAUUUUAGAGUGCGAUGUCAGUUUGAGUGUUUAUUUGGAGUUUCAGAAUAUUGGACAUGUGCAAUUUACAGCUUACAACGAGCAAGCUCAUAAUCAGUAUGUCAUGAUAUGCAAGUUGUGCAAUUUACAGCUUACAACGAGCAAGCUCAUAAUCAAUAUGUCAUGAUAUGCAAGUUUGUACAUACAUCCUGGAUAUCGUACCAACGAGCAAGCUCGUAAUCAAUAUAGGGCGUGUUUGUUUCAGCUUCUCUGUGAAUCGAUUUUCCAGGAACCUUGAUGGCACAAGAAUCAGUUGCCUCAAGAAUCGUUGGUAGGAGAAGCAAAGCAUUUGGUAUUGUCGAUUUUUUUUCACAAAGCUCCCGAUGCGGCCGGCAACGGGGCCUCCGGCGGGGCGGGGAGGGGCUGGUGGCGCGGCCUCCGGCAGGGCGCGGAGCCGGCGGUGGGGCCGGAGGCCGGGGCGCGGAGGGGCCAGCAGUGCUGCCUUUGGCGGGGCGCGGAGCUGACGGCGGGGCGCGGAGGGGCCGGCGGCGCGGCCUUUGGUGGGGCGCGGAGCCGACGGCGGGGCCGGAGGUCGGGGAGCGGAGGGGCUGGCGGCGCAGCCUCGCCGGAGGUCAGGGCGUGGAGGGGCCGGCGGCGGGGCCGGAGGCCGGGGCGCGGAGCCGGAGGCCGGCGCAGAAGGGACGGCGGCGCGGCCUCGGGCUGGAAUCCGCGGGAUUUUCUCGCAAGCGCCCCCGGCGCCCGAUUCUUCCGAUUCUCCAGUUCACGUUGUAACUCUCACUCAGGAGAAAAUCGGAUUGCUGGAGAAUCCACCGAGAAUCGUGGUGUUUGGGAGGCUUGUCCGAUUUUUUCCACCAGAAUCGGCCUAGAAUCCAAAACAAACACGCCCUUUGCCUUUCCAUCCAAGAAACUGAGUCGCGACGCCUUUUACUGCCACGUGUCCCACCCAGAACUGAACCCCCAUUAAUAUACAAGUGCUGUUCGCAUCUAGUGCACAUCUAUGAUGCAAUCGAUGGGUGCAAGCAAUGCAGCAUCAUGCAUGUUUACUAGGACUUCUCAAACAACCCCAAUUUAGCUAGCUCAUAAGAAUCCACCUCACCACUUGCUUACAUGAAAGAGAGAGUGCACUGUCUUUUCUUCAAAAAUUAGCUCAUAUAGAGAAAAUGGGCUGUACACUUUAUUGAUGGCAGAAGUGUUGUGGGACCUAAUACUUUGAGCGAUGUGCUACUCCCUCUAUUCUCGUUUCUUAGGCGUGCGGAGGGUUACUCCAGAGAUCAAGACGCAAUUAAAGCCAACACAGAUCAAGAACGAGUGAGUAGCUUUCAGUGUUGGCUUUCAGCCAUGCAUAAUUUCUCGUUUCAUAUCAUGUUCAUAACUUCUUUUAUUUAAGAUAAUAUAUUAUUAUAGUAUUGGUUGUCGAAGUAAGUAUAUUGGAAACCGUGUCAAUGUCCUGACGAACUUGCAUUUGUACGUGAUUGAAGUAGUUUUUAACGGCUGAUCGAGUGAUCGGAUAGGCUCUCCAGCUAUCUCUUGCAUGCAUCCCAGUGAUCUGCUGACAUCUGGAUGGACAGAGAGAAGAGAUUGAUGCCGAUCACCGAGCUAGAAAGCUACGGCCAGGACGAGCUGGGGUUUCCAUCUUAUUCCAUUCCGUUGGUGGUGAUGCUACCUUAGUUGCCUAUGACGAUAACAUGGGUUAUUAAUUUGACCAGCCAAUGCUCGGCCCUUCUCAUGCAAAGCGUCCGAGGUCACUAAACGGCCACCUUAGCUAGUCAUCUUAGCAUGUUCACAAAUAUCGCAUAUACUAAUAUACAUAUACAACAUAUACUUUAGUGUUUCAAAGACGGAUGCAGGCCUAUCUGGCUAGAGCCUGCCACGUACAACUGUGACGACAAUGCCUUUCACUACUGCUGCAAAAUUUGACAAGCAAAUGAAGCCACGAUAAAUGGUAUGUUGAAUAAAAAAGCAUGAUAUAGGAAAACUAUGGCAAAUAACCAAACCCUUAUGGUACUAAAAGAGUACUGGUUCAAAUUCCUACCUAAAGUGUGAAAAAUUUGGUUCGGCAGCUACUUACUCGGAAUGUUAGGGUGUGUUUGGUUGGUUGUAUCAUUUGAUUCCUAUGUGAAAUUUUUCAAAAUAAUAAUGGUCCUUUUGUUUGGUUGGUUCACUGAUAGAAAAUUGAGCAUUAGUCCCGGUUGGUAGGUCUUAAAGAUCUCAAAAAUCCAUUCGGGAUAAAAUUUUCGAGACGAAAGAGGGGGUUCUUUAGUCCCAGGUCGUUCAACCGGGACUAAAGACCCCCUUUAGUCCCGGUUGGUAAAACCAACAGGACUAAAGGGGCGGCCACGCCAUACACAGCCCCCCCCCCGGAUUUGAUUUACCAACUGGAACUAAAGUGGAUACGUGCAUACACGUACCCCUUUAGUACUUAAGAUUUUUUAAAAAAAUUCUUUUCCAUAUUAAUAUUGUAUGCAAGUCGUAUAUAUAUUUCAUGGCAGUAGUAUAUAUAUAUAUAUAUACAUAUAUAUAUAUAUAAUUCUCAGUGUAUUAUACAAAUCAAACUAGUAUUUGUACAAUUACUAUAUAUAUAAUAAUAAUAAUUUGUCCACUUCAUUCCUAGAAUCCUCUCGUCAUGGGGUUUCUCGGUGCGUCUAUUGAACGUCCGUCGUAAUAAAAUUCUCCCUCUGGAUUUAUCACCUCGUCUACCAGGAAUCCUAUGAGACCUUCACAUAUUGCCCUUAUUCUCUCCUUUUCCAAGAAUUUUAUUUCAAUUUUAUACAUCUGCAUUUUUGAAAACAUGUGAAUGUUACACGAACAAUUAGAUAUAAGGAGCUAGAAAACAAUUAAUUAUUGAUAGUUUUAUUUUACGUACAUUUAUAUCAUGCAACGACAUCACCUUGGGUCCCACAAAACUGUUCAUGUGCGCACAGACGUAGUAUCCACAUAGAUUAUUGCCUUGUUCCUGUCUCAAGCACUUUAGUGGGGAAAAAACAAGUUAUGAAAUAUUCGUGUUAUAAAUUGUACAAAAUGUGCAAACUUCAUACAUACCGGGAAGUCCGUUUUGAAUGUAAGUUUUUCUUUGAAUGGACCACGGUGCUUCUUAAGGAAUAUUUUCCAUGCGCUGUGGAUUAAAAUGAUGAUACAGUGUUAAUUAGGUAAAAAUUUAUGAAACAAACUUUUGCAUAGAGAUAAAGGUCCAAAAUUAUUAUGAGUUCAGCAUGUCUUGGUACUCCUCCGGUGGUUUCCUCAACGAAUCGAACACAACGACGUGGCUUCUACCAAUCAUGAUUAUUAUGAGGAUCCAGUGUAAAUGGCAUACAUAAAUGUUCAUAUUAGAGCUAACUAACAUUAAUUAGGUAAGGAAAAUAAAAAUAAAAAUAGACGGUACCCACACUUACUCAAAGUUGUAUGGCAGUAGUAUGUAACUCUUGUAAUGUUGUUUGUCCAAGAAAUUGUAUACCGCCUCCAAUGUUUUCUUUGGCUGAUCCCGUAUCUGCUUCUGGUUAACCAGCGAUGGAUCCAUGAAGCCAACAUUGAAGUAUGAUUCUCCGUGGUACCUCUAAAUUAGCAUCCUAUAUAAAAUAGAAGACAAAGUUAGUAGGGCAACGCACACACAAAAAUAAUAAUACGAGCUAAAAUUUAUAUAUAGAUAAACAGACACUUACAUAACCCAGACGCUGAUGAGAGAGACAUCAAGGGCAUCAUCCUGAUGGUACACUUCAUAUAUAUAUCCUUGAAUUGCAUCCAUAGGACUUUCUCACCAUAGCCGAAAAAAUCUAUCGGUUUAACCCGAAGACCGAACAUGAGCCUCUUAUUGGCAGACUGCUUCAUGUACCAUUCAUGGAAUUCGUACAUCUUCGUGGAUAGCUUCCGUAUCAACUUAGACCUUACUAGAGGCUUCCCUACCUCAAAGGUCCAUUUAGGUACAACUGGCUCUGGAGCUGGCAGUUCGCCCUAGAACUUUUGCAAGAGACAUACCUGUAUCUUGCAUAAAUCCAAUGACAUGUAUUUGUUGUUCUAAGGACAUUGCUGCUAUAGUUUGAGCAUCUUUAUCUGGUAGAUCCCCGAGCUGGGGAUAGUAUGACUUGAAGACGACUUUCCUUUCCAUUUUUUCUUCUCAUCAGCAUUAACUAACACCGGGUCGUAGUUCGAUAGUAGAGUCCUCUUGUUUUCUUUUGACAUGCCAAUAAAAAAUUUUAAUUUUGCUGGAUCUACUAGCUUUGGCUCCACCUCCUUUGUUUUUCUUUCUUCGGCACAUUUAGCAAAGAACUCCUUGCAAGUUGCUUUUGAUAUUUCCCGCAAUUCCUCAUCAGUCAUAUCAGCCGGUAGCUUCUCAAGGGGUUCAGGCUUCUUUGUUUUCUUCUUUUGCUGCCUUGGCUUCAAAGGUGGUGGUCGCGACUUCUUUAGAGGUGCUGCAGGUUCCUUGCUCGAUGCAGGUCUUAGUCCCAGCGAUGGUGAUCCGGGAGGGGUGUUGUUGUCAUCAUCGCUCGCACCACCAGGAUUCGAUGGAGAUGGAGACAGUUAUCGAGCAGGAUGCGAUGGUCCCGGUGGUGACGAUGGUCCUGCAGCAUGUGCUGGAGAUGACGGUCUUGAGCUUUGAGGAGAUGGUCGCUGCGGGGGAUCUAUGAGGAGCAAUGAUGCCUCUGUGCUGGGGAUGAUGAUGUAGUGUUCAUGGCAUAAAAUGAUCCUGUGAAGCGCAUCUCCUAGUGUCCUUUUCCCAUCACCUCCCGGAAGGUCGAGCUCUAGGCCUUCAUAUUGACUAUCAACAAUCUGCUCUAAGCCGACGCUGGGUAUCGUACCAACGAGCAAGCUCGUAAUCAAUCUGAGUGAUUCCAAGGAAUAUCGGCUCCCGAGGAUUGUAGAGGCCUUGCUUCCAAAUAGCAACAGGUAAGGGGACAGGGAAGAAGGGAGAACGGCUCCCGGGAUACCACCGGCCAAUCCCCUGCGGGAGUUUGCUACCCAGGGCAAAUCAGGCGCACGUUCCCAAAGUGGCCUAUGGAUAGAUCUGGGAAGUUUGACGGCCAACGCGUUUGUCUCCUACUUUCUUUGUCCUACUCGCUCCAGUCUCCUCAUGUUCCAGCGUCUUGUCCUAUAAAGACAUGUCCUACUCGCUCCAGUCUCAUCAUGUUCCAGCGUCGUGUCCUAUAUAGACAAGCCCAAGCCUCCAGCCUCGCUCCAGUUCCCUCCUGUCUUCCGGUCCAACUCUUGCCUUUCCCUGCUUCCCUCGUCUCCUGCUGCUCAACUGCUGCAGGAUACAGCGUGAGGUACGUCAAAGGGUCCGCAGUUUGUUUUAUUCUUGUGAUUGUGAAAACCUUUGGAUUUUUCAGUGGCUAUAAUGUCUUGUGAAAUUCCCCAAUUUUCUUGCGAGCAUGGAUGUAGUGACGCCAAUGAGCACUCGGGGCAGCAGCAGGGCGAUGUACACCGGCCUGAUCAUCCUGUUGCUCGCUGUCGGCGCAGGCAUCAACUUCGGCGACUGCGACGGAUUAUCUGGCCCACUCCUCAGCUUCGUGGGGGUUGUCGCCGGCGCCAACAUGAUCGCCGCCGGCGUCCGGACGGCAGACGACCCAGCAGCACCCAUCGGCCCCGCGCCCGCAGCGUUUGCCGGUGCACGUGCGUUCAUGCGGCGCAACCUCGCCGUCGUGGGGCUCGUCAUGAUUUCCUCUGCUUCCACAGCGGUUGCGGGGGAGACAGGCCCGGCGUUCUCCUUCAUGAUGUUUGUCCUGCUGGUGUUCGGGGUCCCUCUGAUCAACAUCGGAGUUCAUAGCGCCUAGUCUGGUGUGUCAGCUCCAGUCCGUUGGGCUCGCAUCGUUGGGCUCGCAUCGUUCUUCAUACGUUGACGUUCCCCUCAACUAUCUGUCAGUAAUCGCCACCUCUGUCCACGGAUGGUUUUCGAGUAACAGCAAUAAAGGAAAUGGAAUUGGAAUUGGAAUUGCAUUUUUUUUAACCGAGGGAGUACUAUUUCUGAAUAAUCAACCAGUAUAUUUUUCCUUAAUUACUACGUGCUUCUUUGUACUUGAAUUACGUUGGUGUCGACCUGCUAUGUUUGUGAGCUCAAGUACCUUUUCACGGGAACAUGUGAUAUUCCAUCUCCAUGAUUCCACACCUGCUAUCCAAGUUGAGUAGCAGAAGAUCAUCCUGCCCCUGCUUUUGACGCCAGGAGUCGAGACACAAGACGUAUCCAUGUGGGUCCCGGCGCUGACCUGCGAGAUCCGACGCCACUUUUCGGUUGCAUCCCGAUCAUGGCCACUGCAGUACUAAGACCAGCCAAACAGGACAGCGAUGGAGCUGACAUGGAUGUCUGUCUGGAGAACGGGGUGGGUGGCGUGCAGAUUGCGACGGACCACGACAGAGGCGGCGCGUUCGUAACGGGGUGGGGCCGAUCGCGCCGGCGACGGCGACAGCGGACCGAAUGGACCACCUCGCCUUUUUUUUCUCCCUUGUGCUUCAUAUAAGCCAUCGAUCCAUUGUUAAGGAUUGUUCAUAUAAGCCAUCGAUCCAUUGUUAAGGAUUGUUCAUAUAAGCCAUCGAUCCAUUGUUAAGGAUUGUUCAGCGCAUAUUUUCGAGAUUAUGGAUCCAUCAGUCCCUUAAAUAUUGGCCCAAACUACGAAGAUGUUGGCUAGAUGUACUCCCUCCGUAUACAAAUUUGAAGUCGUUCUGGACGACGCUUCAUCAAUGCGAAAGGGAGUCGUUCUAGCUUGAGGGGCCGGUUUGCUCCACAGACCCAUGCAAAAUCGUGUUAAAACAAAAAAUGCCGGUCAAGGGAGUCGAACCCUGCCCACAAGCCUCAAGUCCACCCCACCUGACCAGUCCAAUUACAAAUCAUUCUCAUCUAGGAGUCACCCACAGACGUAUUUAAUAAGGACAAACAUGGAAAAAUACCACUUAAUUAAUAACUUCUUGGUAAGCACAAUCAUGUCCUAAACGACUUUUAUUUCCUAUAUGAAGGGAGUAUGCGUCAGCCAUUGGAAUGGACCACCGAGAGUCAAAUCUGCAAACUUUUUCAUGUGUGGAUUUUUGUAUGCGCCAACCAUCGGAAUGGACGGCUCGGAACACAGCUCCACCACCUGGUCCCUCCCACUCCCCUCCGCCUGGUCCGCUCCGGCCGCGGGCUGCGGCGGCGGCGCCGGAGGCUGCACGGUCGGCCACGAGCCGCCCCCUGCUCCGCCUCCGGCCCCGAAGUUGUAGGCCUGGCGCUCGCGCUCGCCGUAACCUAGCGCCGCCGCUAGGCCACCCCGCCGCCGCCAGCCCACGCUGCAGGAAGCAAAUCAGACAAUUAAUCUAGCGAUGAGGACCUUCACUUGGAUGGAUAUUAAUUCCGCGGCGUCUGCGUCCGUGACGAGAGCUCGUGCGGGGGAUGCGGCUACCCGUGGCAGUCGCAGCAGUUCACAGUUUGAAGAUCCAUUUUCAUCUGAUCCUAACAGGACAAAUGAUCGGUAUGAAUUUACCGGGGAUGAGAUCAGGACAAGCAAGUAUACUUUGAUUACUUUCCUGCCUAAGAACUGCUUCUCUUUUCCCGUUGCCUUUUGUGUUGUUUGUGACUGCUAUGGGUGUUUGAUACACCCCACUAAAGUUUAGCAUCUGUCACAUCGGAUGUUUGGAUACUAAUUAGGAGUAUUAAACAUAGGCUAAUUACAAAACUAAUUGCACAGAUGGAGUCUAAUUUGCAAGACAAAUCUAUUAAGCCUAAUUAGUCCAUGAUUUGACAAUGUGGUGCUACAGUAAUCAUUUGCCAAUGACGGGUUAAUUAGGUUUAAUAGAUUCAUCUCGCGAAUUAAUACAGGAUUCUGCAAUUAGUUUUAUAAUUAGCUCAUGUUUAGUCCUCCUAAUUAGCAUUCGAAUAUCCGAUGUGACAUUGCUAACGUUUAGCACAUAGUAUCCAAACACCCCUUAUAAAAGAUGGAUAUGAGGAUUGGUGGCGUCAUAGAUCUGACAGAAAUGAAAAUAACCGAGAGGCACUUGUCCUUCGACAUGGUGAUUUUCGGUUGAGAAAAGGAAAAACAUUUGUGCAUGGGAGGCGGGGAAGGGAUCUCGGGAGGAGGAUGAGGGAAGAUAGAUGAGAGGUGGAAGGGGUAGGUAAGAUAGAUAGAUACUCCUCAACUACCAUUUAGCUGGUGGAUACAAACACACCUAGCUAAAAUUUAGUUAGCUAAGAGCAACUCCAAAAGAAUCUGUAUCAUAUCCCUAAUACUUUGUUUAGGGAGAAAAAAAACUCCAACAACUCCCAAAACUUCCCCAAGCUAUUUGCAACGUUAAAACAAAGCCGGUCGCCGUGCAUAUUUUCGCGAGCAGCCUCCUCCCCUAAUGACUCCUUCCCGUGCGCGCGGCGGUGGCAGUGGGGCAAGGUGCGUCUGGGUUGACGGUCGUCGGAACUCCACACCGGAGCUCCCCCCGGCCCGCGCAGCAGGGCGCGCGUCUCCACCACAAUGCCGUCGCGCGCCUGCAUUGUGGAGUGGGCCGGCAGCGAUUGGCAGCAGGGUAGACCAGGGCAUAUGUUAAAUUGCAUAAAUAUUAACAUAAAUGUUUCUUUUGUAACAUAAAAAAGUAAAAAAGUAGUACUAAUAAUAUGUAUUCUGGUGCAAAAUAAUGUCAACACUACGAUCUUGUCCUCCUUUUUUUUCUUUUUUGAGAACUCGGCAAAUACUUCGUAGGUAAGAUUGGAAUUUAGAAGUUCAAAAUCCUAGAAAUUUAAGACAUCAAGUUAAUAACAUGCUAGGUGCUAACUGCUAAGUAAGUAAGUAAAGACGCACUCCCUGAUUGGAGGAACUUAUCGAUCUGAUUUGCUAAUCUCAUUUAGAUUACGCGGAACCGCGGACAAGUAUCAGGUGCGGUGCGGAUAGGACGACAGGGGUGUGCACCGUACCGAGCGCGUCACUUCAGGUUUCGCGGUGUCAGGGAUGGACGGGCGCUGACGUCAGCGAUCAAACGACAAUUGCCUCUGUCCGUACAGGCUAGCUGUGCCUCAAAUGAAGAUAUAUACAUGUAAUAUUUUAUACGUUGCCAAUUCGUCGCUUGACAUCUUGCUAGAUGCAUGUUUAGGCCUUGUUUGGGAGGAAGGGGCUAAAGUUUAGUCCUGUCACAUCGGAUAUUCGGAUGCUAAUUAGGAGUACUAAAUAUGAGCUAAUUAUAAAACUAAUUGCAGAACUCCUAGGCUAAUUCACGAGACGAAUCUAUUAAGCCUAAUUAAUCCAUCAUUAGCAAAUGGUUACUGUAGCACCACAUUGUCAAAUCAGGAACUAAUUAGACUUAAUAGAUUCGUCUCGCGAAUUAACCUAGAGGUUGUGCAAUUAGUUUCGUAAUUAGACUAUAUUUAAUACUCCUAAUUAGUAUCUAAACAUCCAAUAUGACACGGGCUAAUUUGUAGGAUGCAUGUUCCUGGGACUAGGGGUCCUGAAAGUAAGAAGAGUUUCUCAUGAUUGUACUGCAAUUGAUCAUGAGAAUGGUGCAGCGAGAUCUGAUGUUAGCGUUUAUGAUUCAUCAGUUUUGCUAUAGAUAGUCUCUGCAAUACUAUACUUUGUGAAACGACGAUCCUGCUAAUUAUUUUAUUGCUUUUUUCACGUUAUUCCCAUAAGUCACGGAAGUGAUUAGCUGGGCUUGGAACCAAAAGAACAUGCAUCCGGCUGAUAUGGAACCAUGGUCCAGUGGAUCCAACAGCAUUUCUUUGUUUUCACACACAAGGUGUAUGACUGUAUAAGCGAUCAAAGAUAUGCACUUUCGUAGCUGGAAAUUUUAGGGGGUGUUUGGCUCCGGUGCUGCACCUGUCACAUCGGAUGUUUGGAUACUAAUUAGAAGUAUUAAAUAUAGUCUAAUUAUAAAAUUAAUUACACAGAUGGAGUCUAAUUCAUGAGAUGAAUCUAUUAAGCCUAAUUAGUCCAUGAUUUGACAAUGUGGUGCUACAAUAACCAUUUGCUAACGGUGGAUUAAUUAGGCUUAAUAGAUUCAUCUCGUGAAUUAGCCUAGGGGUUUUGCAAUUAGUUUUAUAAUUAGCUCAUGUUUAGUCCUCCUAAUUAGCAUCCGAACAUCCGAUGUGACCUUGCUAAAGUUUAGCACCUCGUAUCCAAACACCCCCUUAGUAGAAGAUGUGUGAAUCGCGCAAUGUCAUGUGUAGGGAAGGUAAAUUAACGGUGGAGUAACUGUACACGUGAUCAACCGAACAUUUUCAAUUGAUUACAAAAAAUGGCUUCAUCUGCGGCCAAUACUUCGCAGUUCACCCAUACAAAAUUCAAUUCUCCAUCCAGAUGCAGACAUAUAGAGUUGACUGAAGAACAUUUGCACCUAAAUGGAGCUGACUAAGGGUCUGUUUGGUUAGGCUAUGGCUGUGAAAAAACUAUUGUGAGCUGUGAGAAAGCUGAAAGCCAUUUGGUUGGAAUAGCCAUGAAAACAUAGGUUCGCUGGGAAAUGUCUGUAAUACCCUGAAGUGCUGAGAGACCGUUGAUAUUCAAAAUGAUUAUAAAACAUUGUUUUGUUCACUAAUUCACAUGCAAAUUACCAUUUUAGGAAGGGAAUCUUAAUUUUUUUAACUUUGGCAUUCACCAUUAACAUAUGGUCCACAUAAAUACAAUGAUAGAAUUUUACAAAAGACAUAUGGUUCAUAUAACAAUGUCCAUCCUUAACAUAACUAUCUCCCUCUCACACUAACCAAAGCAUCAACUAUCCUACUGCGAAUUGUAUUCAUGGUAUCCUCGUUCUCUCCAUCUGGAUUGUCAUCGGAGGAAAUAUCAUCAGGACAUGAUGCACUAGCACCGCUAAUAUGUAUCUUAUCAAACAAUAUAUGCAGAUCUUCAAGGUGCUUCGGUUCUUGUUUCCUAAACCUCACAUGGUUGCAUUUGAUACCUUUAUCAGGAUUGUUGCAUCUCUGAAAUUAAAUGAUAAAAGUUAGCUGAAUGAUGAAUAAUGAACAAGCCCACUAUUCCUUAGAGCAUUCAAUAGUUUACUUUGUCUCAUUCCAUCCAAGCCCAGUGGCAUAAUUCUUCAACUCUAUAAAACAAGUACAUUUCUUUUUUCAUAUUGUCCAACUUAUUCUUCAAUUGUUUCUUUGUUUGCUUCAGAUUUGUUUUUUCUUCCUACUUAGUUGUUAGAUUUUUCCAACCAGUCCUAGUGAAAAUUCCCAAUAACCUAUUUCCAGCUUCUAUCUCUUCUUUGCAUAUAUCAAUGAAAUACUUCACAUUAGCAUCAUACCAAUCUACCUUAUGAGCCAUUCUUCAAUCAAGCAUAAAAAAAUAUUUCAUUCAAUUCAGUCCAAAUCAUGCAACAAGUAAUUUGUCAUUCAUUUUUAUUUAAUAAUCAAGUAUGCUAAUCAUUUGUGUACCAAUCUGACUUCAUCCAUUACUGAUGUUCAACAUGUAGAGCCACUCGGGCACAAGAACCACUAGUUGCUACACAAAUGGAACAAGUGUUACACAAAUCGAAUGAUUCCUAAACGAAUCCAAUGAUUACUACUCAAAUCCAAUUGGUUUUGGUCACUAAUAGCAAAGGAGGAAUUGAUUUGGGUCACUUACAAAUCUCGUAGGAGGAGGGCAGAGGGAGGAUGACAAGGGCACCGGCAUGGGGGUGUGGGUGCCGUCGAAAUCUGCGUCGGGGAUGACUGGGGGCCGGCGGCAAGGGGCGUCGCCGGGCAAGAGCCUCACCGCCGGCUGUACCUAGUCCUGCUCGGGGAGGAGGGCAGAAGGAGGUGGACAGGGGCGAUGGCGGGGGGGGAGGGAGGGUCGUUGGCGCUUAGGAGGAGGAUUCCGAUGUGGGCAACAGCCGCCGCCGCCCAGGGGCAACGCCAGCUAAACCCUAGGGCACGUCAGACCCAAGCGUCCCGACGUGAACAGAAACGAGAGACAGAGAAGGCGGAACGGCGGGGGAGAGGUGAAGAUAGAAGAAAAAUCGAAGGGGUGUGCUCAUAAUCGAUGGCACGUGGGUAAUUUCGUGGAAAAGUUGCCCUCACAACUAGAAAAAAAACAAGGGAGGAAGUGUUUUGAGAUUUCUAUAGAGGAAAAGCUGCUUUUCUUGAAGCCACUUGUACGAGGUUACCCCAUUUGGUUGGCUUUUAGCUUUUUUUUUAAGCCAAAGCACCUAAAAAGCCAAAUCAAAGGGACCCUAAAAGCACAUAAAUGGCAUUACUUUUGUCAAAAGCAAAAGAAAGUUAUUGAGUCUACUCCUCUAUCCCAAGCUAUGGCAAGACAAAAGGAAAAUAGAAGCAUUCCAACUAUCUGAGACUAUCUAGUAGCCAACACACACUCUUCAAUUAAUUGUGGAUGUCUCACAUCGUCGAUCUUUAAAUACACUCUUCGAUCAAUUGUGGAUGUCUCAGAUCGUCGAUCUUUAAAUACUCUUACAUAUAUACUGCCCCUCAUAGAUAACUAAAAGGAAAGGCACCUCGCCUUUUUUUUUCUCCCUUGUGCUUCGUAUAAGCCAUCGAUCCAUUGUCAAGGAUUGUUCAGCGCAUAUUUUUUAGGUUGUGGGUCCAUCAAUCACUUGAAUAUUGUCCCAAACCAACAUGGAACAAGGUUCAGCGUAUAUUAUUUUAGGUUGUGGGUCCAUCAAUUACUUGAAUAUUAUCCCAAACUGUCAACAUGGUACAAGGUUCAGCGCAUAUUUUCGUUGUGGGUCCAUCAAUCACUUAAAUAUUGUCCAAACUGCCAAGAUGUUGGCAAAAUGUAUGCGCCAGCCAUCGGAAUGGACACACCAAGAGUGAAAUCUGCAAACUUUUUCAUGCGUGGAUUUUUGUAUGCGCCAGCCAUCGGAAUGGACGGCUCGGAACACAGCCGGGCCGCCGCGUGGGGUCCGCCGUCUCGUUUUGCAUGCGUAUGCCGCGUCUUGCAUGCGUCAUCCACUGCCCUGCCAUCUCUCGGUGCCUAUAAAUCUCACCCCGUCCGCUGCGCACCGCCCAGAUCCUCCUCCUCCUCCUCCUCCUCCCGCUGCAUUCUUCACCUGCUCGCUCGACGGCUCUCUCCAAUUAAGCAGGGACUGCGGUGCCACGCGGCCAACGAUGACCACUCCGGGCACCACGGCGAUGUUCGCCGGCCUCGCCAUCUUGCUGUUCUCCGUCAGCGCCGGAUUCAACUCCGGCGCCGGCGGAUUCGGCUUGCUACUCUACUUCGCGGGGGUUCUCGCCGGCGCCAACAUCGUCGCCGUCGCCAUCCGUAUGUCCGACGCCGACCCGGCGGUGUUGGCCGAGGCGCGAGCUCUCGCAGAGUUUCUUGGUCACAACCUCGCCGUCGUGGGGCUCGUGAUGGCUUCCUGCGCCGUCACGGCGGUCUCCGGCGAAGCAGGCCAGGUGCUGUGCUUCGGCAUGUUUGCUCUGCUCCUCCUCGGCCUCUCCCUGAUCAGCGUUGGGAUUCUUGGCCUCUCCCAGAUGCAUUGAUGCAGGUAACUACUACUGCUACUGUGUGCUUGCUGAUGUAGAAUCAUUCUCAUGCCGUGUGCGCUCAAAUAAUGAAGCUGCGCUACUAUAGUCCAGAUGUCCUUCUUUCCUCUGGCCAUGUAAUGCAAUACUCUCUCUUCUGAGAGAUGAUGUAAUGCAAUCACGUGCAUAGUUUGUUUGAUGAAAGCGUGAUGUUUUGAGUAUCUGUUUGCAAUUUUCCUAAAAUUAUUGUUGUCCAUGAGCUCGUCGCGCAUGCGGGGGAAGGGCAUGGGAGGGCCCAUCCGCAGGAUGUGCUCGGUGUACUCCCGUCGAACCUGACCAGCUUCUUCCUUUUCUCUGUCCCCGCCGGCUUGUCGGCCAUCGCCGCGUCGUCUCCGGCCACGUCCUGCUCGGCAUUGGCGAUCACCAAAGCGGCCAUCGCCUGGGCCGUCCUCUCCUCCUCAGCUUCCUCCAUCUCCAAGUCCAUAUCCGUCGCCGUCGCUGCCAUCUCUGAUCUGUCUCGAAUCCCGAUAGUCGUUGUAACCCUAACUUCUCCGACUAGUCUUAUGCUGUCGUCUCUCACCAACGCCAGGUCCGAGUCCGAUGCGGAUACGUAUCCAUAUCCUGUAUCCAUACAGCACCGCAAGAGUAUUGGGCCAGUCUCGGCCAUAAGCCCAACUCGGCCUCGCUCGUACAGUUGGGCUUUCACCUGGCCAUUGGUGUGCUCUUGGCCCACGCACGCAUGAUGCUUCUUUCUCUUAAUGGUUAGAAUUCUAAAUUAACCCAACAUGCAAAGUUAGCAAUUUGGGCCGUAAUACAGAAAUGACAAACGAACCCACAAAGAACAGCGCAGGGUCCAUUUCCCUCCACCCACAAGGAAUAGCCCACAGCCCAUUAGACCAUACAGAGGUCACGGAAGCCCAGAUCAAGAACUGGAGCUUCCAUGCCCAACUCCAAAAGUUUUCCCCAAAACCAUUGAAAGCUCUACUAAAAUUUUUUCCCUAAAAUCAUAUUCCAAUAAUAAAUUUUCCAAUACUUCAAAACUGUCUACGUCAACGUGACCCACCACCAUCAACUUCCACCGUGGUAGGAUCCACCUGUCAUUCUCAUUUUCUUUAUUUUUUCCCCUCGGCCUUAUCUUCUUCACCAUGUGUUUCGGCCAUUGUUGCUCCACCGGAGCUUUCCACUCGAUCUCUCCAUCCGUUCUUCGAGCUGCUCCCUUCUCUCCGCUCGAUCUCUCCCUCUAUUUUCCAAUUGGCAAAGCAAGGCAACUGAAGCUUCUCCACUCUUCUUCCACCGAUCAAAUCCAACCAAGCAAUCUCCUUUUCCUCACAAAUCAGUAGACAACUCAAUAUCCACACCAUGACCGCAGGCCCUGAACUAUAGAUGUACAUUCGAGCCGCUCGGCCUGGUCCGGCACGGGCCUGGCAUGGCCCACUAUUUUUCAUGCUGGGACUGGCCCGUCACGACGACUCCGUUGUGCCGGGCCAGGCUAGCUCAUGGGCCUCACCGGUGGCCCAAGCAUGGACCCGUAAGGACUUUUUCGUGUCAGGCCAGCCCGAAGAGUUUGGCCGGCUUCGGGCCACGCGAGGCAAGGUGGGCCACCGGCCUCCCGCGCUGUCGCUGCCAUCCCCUGGCCAGGCUCCCGUGCCGCCGACCUCCUGCACCGUUGCUGCCAUCCCCCCGCGCCGCCGUCCCAUCACACUGUCGCUCCCCUGCCCCCGUGCUGCCGCCGGCCUCCCACACCGUCGCUGCCACCCUCUCGCGCCGCCAUCCCAUCGUGCCGUCCCUCCCCUGCCCCCGCGCUACCGCCGGCCUCCCACACAGUCGCUGCCACCCUCCCGCGCCGCCGUCCCAUCGCGCCGUCCCUCCCCUGCCCCCGCGCUGCCGCCGGCCUCCCACACCGUCGCUGCCACCCUCCCGCGCCGCCGUCCCCUCGCGCCGUCGCUCCCCUGCCCCCGCGCUGCCGCCGGCCUCCCACACCGUCGCUGCCACCCUCCCGCGCCGCCGUCCCAUCGCGCCGUCCCUCCCCUGCCCCCGCGCUGCCGCCGGCCUCCCACACAGUCCGCCACUGUUGUCCCCCCCGCUGCCGCUCCCGGCCCCACGCUGCCGAUGGGGAAGAUGGAGAGAUGGGUGGAGGACUGGAGCCUGGAGGUUGGAGAUGCCGGAGAGAUGCGGUGGGCAGUAGAUAGGAGAGGAAGGGGUGACGGGUGGAAGUUAAAUGACAGAUAGUUGUUGGGUUGGUAGGGAGGAGGUUAACGGGCCAUUUCGUACCGACAAGCUAAAAUCGUGCCGGGUCGAGGCGUCAGCCCACGCCCGGCACGAGCCAUCGAGCCGGGCCAGCCCAAGCCCAAAGAGUUACAGGCCAGGCUGGGCUUGGGAUGGGUCAAAAAACCGGGCUUCGUGGCGGGCUAUCAGGCUACGGACUGCAUGUACAUCCAUACCCUGAACGGCUCCUUUCUUGCUUCUUAUGAACAGCACAGCACCACACCACCCCCCGAACUCCUUCCAGUCAAGAACUAGGUGUUGCUCCUCUCCGAGGCCCCACGCAUUGCCUCACAGUGGCGCCCUCGAGGCUCGAGCAUGCACAACGGCGCGCCGCUGCCUUCCCCGUCCUCACCCCGCCCGUGGAGUUGACCUGGCUAAAUUUUAGCUAGUGGAUGGUCUUAGUAGUACUGCAGUGGCUAACCUAAUAAAAGAUCGAAAUACCCAUCCAUCCGCGGAAUCAGAUCCUCUAAAGUCAGUCUCGACGACUGCUUCCGGCAGUGACUCCAUCGCUGUCGUUCACUGCCAUCCAACGGAGCAGCAGAGCCUAGGCACUCUAGCUCUGAGUAAGAAACAGAGCAAUAACAACGACAAUAGAACAGAAUUUCCAGAGCUGCCUAUCCUAGGCUCAGAGAAAACCGGCCAUCACCAUGGAGACGCCAGCGAGCAUGACGACGGCCAGUCCGAAAGCCACCACCGGGGUGACGGCGCCAACAGCGACGGCGUGGACGGCUGAGGAUGCGGCCACGAUCCCCAGCAUAGAUGAGAGGCUGCCACGGCUGCCACGGUGCCUGUUCCCCCGCCCGUCGUCUUCAUCGGACGCCUUCUUGGCUCCCGGUGGAAUGGGAUCCCUGGCCUUAGCACCCGCGGACUUUUCAACGCGAAUCUACACGAUCAGGAACACGAGUUAAAAAAGAUUCUCAAAAGACUUGGAGACAAAUUAAGGGAGUGUUUGGAUCCUGGAGCUAAAGUUUAGUCCGUGUCACAUCGGAUAUUCGGAUGCUAAUUAGGAGGACUAAACAUGAGCUAAUUACAAAACUAAUUGCAGAACCCCUAGGCUAAAUCAUGAGACGAAUCUAUUAAGCCUAAUUAAUCCAUAAUUAGUGAAUGUUUACUGUAGCACCAUAUUGUCAAAUCAUGGACUAAUUAGGCUUAAUGGAUUCGUCUCGCGAUUUAGCUUAGGGGUUAUGAAAUUGGUUUUGUAAUUAACCUAUGUUUAAUACAUCUAAUUAGUCAAACAUGGGAUGUGGCAGGGGUUAAAGUUUAGCUUGGGGAUCAAACACCCCUAAUUACUACAUCUGCGAUAAACUGGAUGUUGGGUACAUUAAUUACCUGAAGCAGCAUGUCGCUGAUGCCGAUGAUCAGCGCGCCGGGGUGCGGGUUCACCACUUCCCGCUGCCAACACAGAUUUUAAGCUUUGUUCUGCUGGAGUGAGUUCGUUCGCAGGCCUCAAGUCACUGAGGGCCUGUUUAGUUUUCAAAUUUGAAGUGGUAAAAUUUGCAUUUUGCCAUAAAUGCGCAAUUGUAGCAUUUCGUUUAUAUUUGUGAAUUCUUGUCCAAACAUUGACUAAUUAGGCUCAAAAGAUUCGUCUCGCAAAGUACAACAAAACUGUGCAAUUAGUUUUUAAUUUCGUCUACAUUUAGUACUCCAUGCAUGUACCGCAAGUUCGAUGUGAUGGGGAAUCUUCUUUUGCAAUUAGUUUUUAAUUUCGUCUACAUUUAGUACUCCAUGCAUGUACCGCAAGUUUGAUGUGAUGGGGAAUCUUCUUUUUGCAUAGUGCCAAAGUUGGGAAUUUGAGGUAACUAAACAAGGCCUGAAAUGGAUGUUGAGGAGAUUAUUGAUCACCUGCAGCUGGUCGCCGAUGUUGAUGAUGAGCGCGCCGGACUUGCCGUCUUGGGGUGAAUUGAUGCCUGAAUGGUUCCCGAGUCCGCGGCGUACACCUGACUCUCUCAGCUUGCCGGUGAAGCCAGCAAUCAGACUUCACCGCCUUGGCACCUCUUGUGAGUCGUCUGGUGAACCAGUUGAAAGAUGAUGGAUAGUAGGAUAUCCAAGAGAGUUCAACUGUGCUGACAACACUACUAUCCGAAGUUCCGAACAUCAUGGAAUCAACAGUACUAUCCGCAGGCGUAUAAAUGUGAUGCCAACACUACUAUCCAGGAGAGUUCAUGUGCUGACACCUGUGCUGACAACAGUACUAUCCAAGAGAGUCAUACCGGUGGAACAACGAGGAACCAAAAUCAGUAAAGAGUCAUGCCACCCGGUGGAAGCUGUUCAGUUCUCUCAUGCUACAUGACGAAAAAUGGUAGUACUGAUAGCCAAAAAAGUGGUAGUACUCUGAUAGGAUUGCAUUACAUGGCCAGAAGAGAGAGUAUUGCUCACAGACAGUAUUGUCUUACAUCAUCUCUCGGAAGAGAGAGUAUUGCAUUACAUGGCCAGGGGAAAGGAGGACACUUGGACUAUACUAGCGCAGCUUUUCAUUAUUUGAGCCCACACGGCAUGACAAUGAUUCUACAUCAUCAAGCACACAGUAGCAGUAGUAGUAAGUGUACGAGAGACAGGGUGUGGUGAUUGUGAUUCUUCCAUUGGAGGUCGUUACCUGCAUCAAUGCAUCUGGGAGAGGCCAAGAAUCCCAACACUGAUCAGGGAGAGGCCGAGGAGGAGCAGAGCAAACAUGCCGAAGCAGAGCACCUGGCCUGCUUCGCCGGAGACCGCCGUGACGGCGCAGGAAGCCAUCACGAGCCCCACGACGGCGAGGUUGCGACCAAGGAACUCUGCGAGAGCACGCGCCUCGGCCAACACCGCCGGGACGACGGGCGCCAGGAUGCCGACGGCGAUGGUGUUGGCGCCGGCGAGAACCCCCGCGAAGCAGAGUAGCAAGCCGAAUCCGCCGGCGCCGGAGUUGAAUCCGGCGCUGACGGAGAACAGCAAGAUGGCGAGGCCGGCGAACAUCGCCGUGGUGCCCGGAGUGGUCAUCGUCGGCCGCGUGGCACCGCAGUCCCCUGCUUAACUGGAGAGGGCCGUCGAGCGAGCAGGCGAGGCACCGCCGCACCGGGGAGGGAAGCGUUGCCGAAGAGGCGAAGAAUGCAGCGGGAGGAGGAGGAGAAGGAUCUGGGCGGUGCGCGGCGGACGGGGAGAGCCGGAGGAGGCGAGGAGCGAGAUGGUUGGCGUCGGGGAGGCGGAGGGCCAUUUAUACGCCUGCGCGGCCCGAGAUUUCCACCGUCAUGUCAUGCCGUCGUGUGUGUCGUGUCGUGUCGGCCGGCCCUCCGGCGUGAUCCAACGUGAUCCAACGGAUGAGAUUGGAUUCGUAUUGACGCGAUUCGUAUGGUGAGAUCGGAAGUUUGGUUACUCGAGCUAAAGUUUAAAAUUUAAUCCGUAUCAUAUUAAAUAUUCGAAGACUAAUUAGAAGGAUUAAAUAUAAGUUAAUUAUAAAAUUAAUUGUACAGAUGGAGGCUAAACGGCAAGACGAAUCUAUUAAGCCUAAUUAAUCCAUCAUUAGCAAAUAUUUACUGUAGCAGCACAUUGUCAAAUCAUGGACUAAUUAGGCUUAAUAGAUUCGUCUCGCCGUUUAGCCUCCAUCUAUGUAAUGAAUUUUGUAAAUAAUCAACGUUUAAUACUUCUAAUUAGUAUCUAAACAUUCGAUAUGACAGGUGCUAAAAAUAAGCACCUGAAACCAAACGCCCCCCAUGUCGACGCAUAUCAUAUGUAGUUGAAGCGAGGAAUCCUUAAGCAUUUCAUAUGUAGUUAAGCAUUUCAUAUGUAGUUAAAGCGAAGACAUUUUAAUGUAAUUAAAGCGAGGAAUCCUUAAGCAUUUCAUAUGUAGUUAAGCAUUUCAUAUGUAGUUAAAGCGAGGACAUUUCAAUGUAGUUAAAGCGAGGAAUCCUGAAGCAUUUCAUAUGUAGUUGAAGCGAGGAAUCCUUAAGCAUUUCAUAUGUUGUAGUUAAGCAUUUCAUAUGUAGUUAAAGCGAGGAAUCAAGAAGAUAAACGCCCUCUCGUAUUGACGCAUAUUAUAUGUAGUUGAAGGCAGGAAUCAGGAAGAUAAGUAUCCACACUUGGUGGGAAACUGGGGAUCCCACUCUUCAAAAUAUGAAGCAAUGCGUUCUCUGAAACUCUGAAUAAAAUAUGAUUAAACCAUCGCUGGCGUCAGGAACAGCGGGUGGGCCCAGCCUCACGGAGUACAUCUGGAUGUUGACGCGCGAUGUUGCAGCGGCGGCCCGGCCCGAAGGCUGGACAACAUCGCAUGUCAACCGCGCUGCGCACCGCAUGACAACAUCGCAUGUCAACAUCGCAUUUCAAUUCAUUAAAGUAACAAAAACUUAUUUUCUACUCUCAAAACUUUUAGUCUAGCCACGCUAAACUUGCCAUACCAUAAUAUGAAGAUCCUCAAUAAAGAUGAAGAGAUUACGUAUUAUUUAACAUAUAUAGAAAAGAAUGUGUUAUGAGUAAAUUGCACCACAGUUACAACGACUUGAAGGUGAGUCCUAUGAGAAGUCCUCAUCCUUAUCACACUGUACCUACCUCAUAACUAACUGCAACUUUGAUGUAUAUACUUAUGUAGGCACAUGUCAUCUAAGUAAAUGCAAUCGCAUGGGACAAGAAGUCUAAGUAGUCAAUAUUGUUCUUCUCUUUUAGAUGCAGUUUAAAUAUUGUUAGUAGACAAUAACCUUCCUAUGCGCAAGUUACUAUAGAUCUGGUUGAUCCACUGUUGCUUAUUAUCAGUAACUAUCAAUUAAGAAGAACAGAUGCUGUGACAGUCCAAUUGCUAGUAAUUGCCUAGAUAAUACUGAAUAAUAAUGCGGUGCAAGUGGUACAUUUCAAUUGUGCACUAUAAAGCAACGUUGAUAAUUAAGAUGCAAAAUAUAGGCUGCUCGCCAAAAACACAAACACAUGAUUUACAACCUUAUAUAAGCAAUUAAGGAAACCAAUAGAACAACCAAAAUGAAGACUUUACCAUUCUAUUUAAUCCAAUCUCGCAUACAUACGAGAGCCUCAAUUGUUUUGAUAUUCAAUGUGCUCCAUUGCUUAUGAAUCACUGGUUCCUCGCUGCUCAAUGCUGCCUCACCAUGCAUAGCAGAAGCAGGAAUUGCCAGGACGUCACGUGCCACAAUUGAGAGGAUUGGAUAAUUUGUAGAAUUACUCAUCCACCAGUUCAGAAUAUCAAAAUCAUCCUUCCUUGGAACAAGGCCAUCUUCAAGGUAGUUCUUAAGUUCUGUCAACGCUUGGGUCCUUGUCUGCUCAUAACGGUAUUUAUCCCAAUCUUCCAAUGAAUCCCUGUAAAAUCCACCCACUUGAACAACAGAAUUUGAUGUCUCGACACUUGGUUUAUCUAACGCACUGCAAUAUUCAAGAAACAGCUCCCGGAUUGUAUCACGUACAGCAGACACAUACUUUGCUGCGUCAGUGCCAAAAGCUUGUUUCAGACGGAACUCGAUAAGAGUAAGUUUGAAUCUGGGAUCAAGAACAACAGGUACUGACAACCACAAGUAUGAAUUCUGCCAAUACUCGUCGAAUGCUUCCUGCAUCUCCCAAACCAAGCCAGCAAGUUCAGUAUGAUUUGUAGAUGAUUCUUCUUCCAAGGUUGUCCUAAUUAUCCACAGUUCAUUGAAGUACCUAUUUGCUGUGGAACAGACAGGACCCGAAACUACUUCAAUGGCAUGAUAAAAAGCCCUUAAUAUCUUGCAAGCAGACUCAACAGUUUUAGUGUCUUCUGCAGAUAAGAAAUCUUGAGAGGAAAAUGCUUUCUUGAAAUGCAACACAACUUCAAGCCCAAAGUAAAUUUUGUGCCACCACUUUGCAUCUUCUUGGGGGCAUUUCAAUCCCAUAUUCGUAACUACUUCUAUAAGUAGCUCUUGAGUAAGCGCUGUGGACAUAUGUGCCUGAAUAAAUCUCUAGUAUAUCAGCAACGAGAUGAAGCAUUGGUUGCCCCUUUGAAACAAUGCUGUUAAGCACAUCAUCCACGCAAGCAAUAUUGUGUAACUCACCUCCAAUAGGAAGGCAUUUCCUUUGGCCGAGGAAGUCCUUGAGCUUUGAGGUACGCUUAUCGUUUCUAAUUUCGCUGACACAUGUCAAGCUGAAAAGCUUCUGAUCAAGAUUCCAGUCUCUUAUAGCUUCCCAUAUGAUGUUAAAUGGCCCACUCUCAGAAUCUAGUACAGUAACCUCACUAAAUUGUAUCAUCCUAUCAAAAUUAGUGAGUGGCUGAAACAGACCAAACUUGAUGAUUCUCCUUUGAAGUUUCCAGUCUGAAUCAAUAAAAUGCACUGUCAAACAGAGAUACUUCACUGAGGCCUCAGCUCCAUGAGGAGUCCACGAACAAGCUGAUAAGGAAACCCGAUGUGAUGCAAGAGCAAUUUUCUUCUGAAGUUCAUCCUUUUCUUUCUCGAACAGAAUAGUUGAACACUCUUCUAUACCAAUCCUUGAAGCCAUGUUAAAUGCUGGAUUGAGGCUCUUUGCAAAACUUAUCAUUUCUUCAUGCUCAACAAUAGAUAGGGGAUAGCCAUGCAAAAUAACCAUUCUAGUUAGCUCUCGAUAAGAUGCUUCUUGGUCAAAUUUCCUGCUUAUGACUGGCGCAGUCUGACCUGGUGAGGUAAUUUGUUCUCUAGGGUCCAUUUUUUCUAGUGAUGCUGAAGUUAGAACGUGCAGAUCCACAGGAACUCUAUCACCAGAGCUGCCCUUGAGGAACUUGCUAGCAUACUUUGCAAUCUGAACCAUACCAUUUGUCAAGGCAGGUGAAAGCUCAUCCUGAAGCCUAGACUUGGAACUUGGUUCACUGGACUGGGAAAAAACUCUUUUCUGAAGAUUUACGCUAGUUCUACCAUGGGCUGGACAAGUCUGACUAUGUCAGUUUAGUUGUCUUCUACUUUUAUCCACACUGAGUCGCUUGUGGCAAUGGACGCAUUCAGCUUCCUGGAUCCUCCCCUCAACAUAUAAUGGUAUAAAAUCUUUCCAUACCAUUGACCUGAUUUUUUUGUUGUCACUAUGAGCUACCAAGUUAAUGCCACCAUAUGAAUCUGUAAGAAUGUAGUCCAGAAGAUCUACAUCAUUCACCAGUAAUAUGCAUAAAGAUUGAAUAAUUCAUCCAGAAAAUUAUGCAUAUUAUAUGAAGGACAUAAAAUGUGCGAAUAGCACACCCAAAUUUACACCAUACAAACCGACCAACAGCAAAAAUUAGUAUAUCAAUCAUUGUAACUGAACCAUGAGCUGUGUAGAAUCUAAUGUAUGCCCCUCCACUUUGCAAUAAUUGUCCAAAUUUACCAUGUACGCAAACCAACUAAAUACCAAACACUUGAUCUCUUUUGCAACAUUAAUGUAGGGUUAAUAUGUUGAAACAUUGUACUUUCUAUAUUUUUAUUCCACCAUAUGACAGUCAUUGUGCAAAUAACUAAGUGCCGGGCAUAAUACAAACAAAUUAUACAAGGUUCAUAAUUUCCAUACUAAUUGCGAAUAGAAAUCCCCACCAAAGGAAACAAAAAUCUAAAGAAAUCAUCAAGCAGGAUCAUAACUCUACAACUGUGGCUAUUUAAGUUCAAAUUUAUCCUAUUGCGUAAGAGUUACUCAGUAACUAAAAGCAUACCAUAUCGAAACUCUGCAUCCUGUUGCUGCUGGCUUGUAGCCAAUCUCUCCUUCCCUGGGCAGAUUUCCUGGUGUUGAUACAAAGAGUCACUUCGACAGCUCAAGUGAACAUGGCAGUAUCGGCAUUCCACUCUAUCAACCACUCCGUUUUCGCACACAGGCUUGUAAUCAUCCCACAGCUUAGCUAUCUUAUUUCUGAAUCUGGAUUGACCAAUAGAAGCAGCCCCUGCUUGCGUAUCAUCACUGAUAUGCUCAUCCAACAGGUCCAUAACUGCAGAUAACAAUACGACAUUAUCAGCUUUCUUGACAGGGCGUAGUUAAGAUGCAACCUUGAUUCCAACCAGAAAAGGAAAUGCUUCACACAAUGCAGGAGCGGCAAUAAUCUCUACAGACGGCUGGAGUGCUGGACAUAUCAGAAAAACAAUUCGCACAGACAAACAAACAGUAGGUGCAGAUGUGCAUGCAUUGAUCAUUAAGAGAAAGACCCAAAAAAAAACUUUUAGUUCUCCCAAAAUUGCUGGGUCCGAGAAUCGAUCCCACGACCUCUUGCUUGCUAUCAAAAGGUAACACCUGUUCUCCACAACACUAACACGCGCCCUGCCGCUCCAAUUUCUUGCAACUUCUAAGCCCGCAGAGCCGCAAGCAACUAAAACGGUAGCCAAUACCUAGCAUUCCCCGCACCACUACUCCCCAAGCGAAGACUGCAACUUUCCGGCCCAAAACUAAUAAGAACACCAGCUACGGCAGUGCCCGCCCAUUCGCAGACACAAACAGCACCAGGCAAGCAAUUCGUUCCCCCCAAAAAUUCGGGAAAUAAAAAGCAACUGUAGCGAGAGGAGGAUCGCAUCACUUACUGGUUACUGCUCGCCGGAACUCAGAAAAGGAACAUCAUCGAAGGAAUGGGAUGCGCAAUGGCACUCGGGAAGUCGGAAUGCUUCCGAGGAAGUGCGCUGGGGAAUCGGAGGAGGGAGGAGACGGGGAGCAGAGUGGAGGGCUUAUUCGGGGUGGGUUCGGUGGUGCAGCAACUCCAAUAGUUCCCAAAAAAAUUCUUCCCCAAAACGAGGUAUUGAGAGCUAUGCUAAAAAAAUUUUCCCCAAAAAACAUAUCAGCCCACAGAAGAACGCUAAAAACUAGCUCAAUAUUUCAAAACAGAUCAUGUCAUCGUAUUGGGCCCAUUAGUUGAGCUGCCCACCUGCCCACCUCCCCCUCGUGAUCUCCAGCGGCGCUGCCAGGAGCUCACGUCGCCAAAGGAUUUUUCACGCCGGCAGGAACCCACGUCGCCAGGAGGUCACGAUCAGGUUUGUGCCAUGGAGCUCAUCCUCUACUGAAAUACAUACACCUCGCUCGCUGUUGCUGCUUCCGCUUCGCGCUCGUGCUGCUUCCGCUUCGCGCUCGUGCUGCUUCUGCUGCCUGCUGAAUUAUUUCUCUCUCCCUCCUCUUCUUGCGUUUGUGUACUGUUGGUGUGUUUGUGUACUGUUGGUGUGCAGCCGAAGCCGUCCGGGCGAGCCAAUAGUUGCGUCACGAUCAGGAAUACAUUAAACCUUGAAAACAUCCAAAAUGUACCCUAAAGAGAACCAUAGACUUGCAGUAGGCAGGUAUUGCUCUGCUCCAUAUUUUGGUUCCGGUAGCCUGCUACUGACUUGCAUGCAGAACCAAUCACUCUUCUAUAUCUCUGUCUCUAAGAGACCUCACAGAAAGUGAAGGAGAUGAAGCUUGGAAGGCCAACUGUGUCCACUAAAAAGUUGAGCCUUAAAAUGGACUAGGAACUAAUUCUUGUAGUUUUAUGCUCAAAUGAUGAAAAUUCUUAUUCACAGAAUCAGUUAAAUAUGUAAUAUUUUGAACCAAAGAUGAAGACUUAAACAUUAACUGUAAGUUAUGACUUAUGAGCCAAUUCAGGAAAAAGAUGGUAUAGCAUUUAUAAUCAGCACAUCAUGAACAAUAAGGUUGGAGGGAACAUGCCACUGCGUUAAGUGAAGAAUAAUGCACAUGUAUAGCAGGACGUACGUAUCAUUGUUCCAAAUAAUAGUUCUAGGUACAUUGAGAACCUAAAUCUACACAUGCCCUACAAUCUAGCAGAAACCAAGGGUAAGUAUAUUUGAUUACUGCCCAUUCUCCCAUUUGUUAAGACUUAAGAACAUAAAGGUGAGGGUCACUUUUUCAGUAGAAAAUUCAAGAAGAACUUGUAUUGCAGUGAACAACAGUUUUCUGAUUGGCAUAAAAAAGAAAUAGUACUAAUAUUAAUCUCAGAUCAAGUAUAUGAAAACUUUCCUUGUUAUCAAUUAGCAUGACAGAUAAAAUUCCAGUACGAGCCUAAAGGCAGGAUGAUACAUUGAUACUAGAAGUCCCGAAGAUGUACACCUCGAGGUUCGAAUUCUGAUGAAAUUGAGCUAGUAUGACUAACAAAUUUCCGGUGAAAUUGAGCUAUGAUGACUACAUGAUCCGAAUAUGGCUACAUCAAGAGCUCAACUUGGUCCCUCUUUACCUACCUGCGCACGGGACGCCACCGCCACUUCCGCCGCGGCGGCCGGCCAGCGGCAGCGGAAGAGGUGCUCCCAGACGCAGUCGGCGUCGCAGGUGGUGCGCCAGAAGCGCGAGCAGACGCCGAGCGCGCACACGUCGGCCUCCUGGAACCGGCGUCGGGAGGAGAGGAAUGGGCCGGAAAGGGGCGCGCCGGAGUGGGGAGGGCCGCCGCCGGGAGAGGAGGGGACUGGAGAUAGCCGCCGCUGCUUGGAACCGGCGCCGGGCCCGGGAGGAGAGGAAUGGGCCGGAGUGGGUGCGCCGGAGUGGGGAGGGCCGCCGCGCGGGAAGGUUGGUCUGCUCGCGCGCGCGGGAAAGGGCAGCUCAGCGCGCGGGAAUAGCGAUUGGGGGAGGAAGCGGUGGAAUCGCGAUGGGUGGAGAAAGGCGAAGGCGAAAAUAUAUGCGGUGACCGAUUGUUUUUUUUUCGCGAAAAAAUUAGGGGAGGUUUAGUUUUUUUUAUUUUCCCUCUGCAAAAGAUAUUAGGGUAAGAUUAGCAGUCUUUUGGAGGGAGUUGACCUUCAUGGACCGGCUGGUGGGGUCAGGUCGCGAGGAGCCCGACCCAGUUCAUGAUCUGGGCUGAAACGGGCUCUUUAUGUGCUACUGGCCACUUACUGGGCCUUCGGCGCAUUAGAAAUUGGGCUGCGUUUCCCGACGAACUGGGUCCGAAUAGGCGGUGCGGCCCGUCGUCCCUUUGGGGCAACGGCACAACAUGGAUUCGGGCCGCACCGCGAUUCGGGCCCAGCUGGAUGUCGUUUAAAUUCAAGUUGAGAUUUUGCAGGGGAACACACCCAGUACGCCACGAUAACAUAGACAGAAUAUCAAAUGACUUCUCAGGUUAAAGCAGCAGCACAUCAUUCGCACUGUACAAAUAAUCUGCACCAGAAGCCUAACAAAAUCCUAGGCAACAAUGCAUAAUACAUGUCAACACCUAGAAGCUCUCCCUUUUAGCUUCUGCAAUACACACUCCCGGGGAA